AUUUGAGGGCUCGACUAAGUUCGUAUUGUGUUUUCAUACUUGUUGGUAUGUCUGGUUAAGGUUCCGGGGGCCUCGGGUGGAGUUCAGAUGGUUAACGGAUAAAAAAUGAGACUAAAGCUGGGGGCCUUUUGGUGUGAUCGCACCUGCGAGGGGAUUGGUCAUAGGUGCGGCUGGAGUGGCGCAGAAGCAAAGUUAGUCUGGCCAAGGGAGCUUUGCAUGUGCAAAGAGGUGGCCGCAGAAGCGGAGUCGCUCCUGUGGAAAAAAGGUCACAGAAGCGGAGAAUGGGAGAGGCUGAGUUGGUUAGGUGUUUCCGCAGAAGCUGAAGUUGGGGCGCAUAAGCACUUCUGCAGAUGCGGAUUUUGGGGCGCAGGUGCGUAGUUUUCACCGCAGAUGCGGUCCCUCAGAAGCGGAAUUUUGGCCCGCAGGUGCGAAAGCACUAGGCAGAGUUUAAAACUCGAGGGUUUCUUGAAUUUUAUUAUUUUGGAAAUUUCAAGCUCAGGCUAAGGCGAUUUUUGAGAGGGACUUCGAGAGGUUUCUCGAGGUAAGUCACUUGUGAUCAUUUUUAUUCAAUAAUAUUGUUUCCCCAUUGAAUUUCUCAGCUAGUUUGUGUGUUAUUUAGGUGGAGUUUUGGGAGUUUAAGGCUAGAAAUUUGGAGAGUUUAAGUUGGGGAUUUGAGUAAUGAUUUGGUGUUGGAUUUUAGUAAAUUUGGUAUGGUUGGACAUGUGGUUGAAUGGGCUUCCGAAUUUUUUAACUUUUAUUGGAUUCCGAGACGUGAGCUCGGGGGUCGACUUUAGUGUUGACUUUUUGACUUUUGAUUAAGAACUUAGUAUUUUCUUAUGGAAUUAAUUCCUUUAGCUCGUGUUGAUUGUAUCUAAUUGUUUAUGGCUAGAUUCAAGGCAUUCGGAGGCCGAUUCGUAAGGCCAGGGCUUAUUGGAGUAGAGAUUUGCACGGUUUGAGGUAAGUAGCACUUCUAAACUUGGUUCUAAGGGUAUGAAACCCCGAAUUUGCGUGUUAUGUGAUUGGUGUUGAGGUGACGCACAUGCUAGGUGAUGGGCGUAUGGACGUGCACCGUAGGGAUUGUGACUUGGUCGAUUCCGUGGAACUGUAUAGUUGAAUAAUCUUGUCGUUAUCCGUAUAUUCUCCAUGUGUUAGAGAAAUUGAGCUACAAGUCAUGUUAGAAAUCAUGCUUAGGCUAUACAAUGGUACUGUUGGGGCCCACAAAGGUCGUAUUGCAUGUCUAAUUAUUUGCUUAAAAUUGCAAUUACGAACUCACAUAUAUUAUUUGCAUAUCAUAUCUCAGUCUCUGUGCCAUUUAUUGAUAUAUCAUAUCAUCAUUGUUUGGGCUGAUUUUCAUGAUUCUCGUGAGCCCGAGAGACUGGAGAGACUGGAGAGAUUGAUGACUGAGUGAGGCCGAGGGCUUGAUUGUGAGGAUAUAUAUGGGAUUGGACUGCACGCCGCAACAUGUUUUAUUGAUUCAUGCCAUGAUUGGCUUAUUAUAGCUCUUGGGUUGGAUUUGCCCCUCCGGAGUCUGCACACCCACAGUAAGCAUAGGUAUCUACUGAGUGCGAGUGCCGAGCGUUUGGGAGGAUUGAGUGAUUGUGAGGAUGGAGUGAAUGAGAGGAUUGGGUGAUUGAUACUCUGAGAUUAUGCAUAUGAUUUCAUCACUGAUUUUUACUUCAGCUGGCAUACAUAACUGACAUGUAGAUAUCGAGAUGUACCAUAUCUUGUUUCAAUUGAACAUUACAUAUCUUACCUGUUUGAGCUUUAAUUGUUAAAAUUGGAAGCGUGUCUACCUUUCUGUACUGUAUUUCUGUAAUUGAAUUGUACCUGUGAUGCCCGUCAAUGCAUUCAGCUUAAUAGUUAAGCGUUUUACUUACUGAGUUAGUUGUACUCAUGCUACACCCUGCACUUCGUGUGCAGCUCCAGGUGUUUCCGGUCACGGUGGUUGCUGAUUAUCAGAGUUUUCAGUCAUUCAGAGACUAUCGAGGUAGCUUCUUGGCGUCCACAUGCCUUGAUUCUCCUCCCCUAUCCCUCAAUUUAUUUAAUCAGUUUUUGCUUUCUUGACAGAGUUUCAGACUUUGUAUUUGUAUAGAUGCUCAUGUACUUAGUGACACCCUGAUUUUGGAAAAAUAUUUGUAUCGAGUUGUGAUGGGUUUUAUCAGUUUUUAUGUGAUGUUUUACUUAUGUAAACAUGUUUUAGUUUUUUUUUAUGAUAGGCGCCAUCACGACAUGUUUAGUUUUGGGUCGUGACACCCGUGGGUUCGGAUGAGGUUCACACAUGUUCCGGAGUGGUUUGGACUGAAAUGGGAAAAAAUCUAAUGUCUUGUGCUCUGGUGUCACAAAUGCGAACACCAAGCUCACAUUUGUUAAGGCGACAAGUGAGGGGCAGUUGUCGCAAAUGAAACCUCCCUUGGUCCGCAAUUGUGAGGGUUCGCAAAUGCGAACCCUGUGUCGUAAAUGCGACAUCUGCAGCUGGUUAAGGUGCUGGGAGACGGGAUUUUGAACUCAUUCUCACAUUUUGAACCCUAGACUCAGUAGAAGGCGAUUUGGAGAUGGGAUUUUCACUUGCAAACCUUGGGUAAGUGANNNNNNNNNNNNNNNNNNNNNNNNNNNNNNNNNNNNNNNNNNNNNNNNNNNNNNNNNNNNNNNNNNNNNNNNNNNNNNNNNNNNNNNNNNNNNNNNNNNNNNNNNNNNNNNNNNNNNNNNNNNNNNNNNNNNNNNNNNNNNNNNNNNNNNNNNNNNNNNNNNNNNNNNNNNNNNNNNNNNNNNNNNNNNNNNNNNNNNNNNNNNNNNNNNNNNNNNNNNNNNNNNNNNNNNNNNNNNNNNNNNNNNNNNNNNNNNNNNNNNNNNNNNNNNNNNNNNNNNNNNNNNNNNNNNNNNNNNNNNNNNNNNNNNNNNNNNNNNNNNNNNNNNNNNNNNNNNNNNNNNNNNNNNNNNNNNNNNNNNNNNNNNNNNNNNNNNNNNNNNNNNNNNNNNNNNNNNNNNNNNNNNNNNNNNNNNNNNNNNNNNNNNNNNNNNNNNNNNNNNNNNNNNNNNNNNNNNNNNNNNNNNNNNNNNNNNNNNNNNNNNNNNNNNNNNNNNNNNNNNNNNNNNNNNNNNNNNNNNNNNNNNNNNNNNNNNNNNNNNNNNNNNNNNNNNNNNNNNNNNNNNNNNNNNNNNNNNNNNNNNNNNNNNNNNNNNNNNNNNNNNNNNNNNNNNNNNNNNNNNNNNNNNNNNNNNNNNNNNNNNNNNNNNNNNNNNNNNNNNNNNNNNNNNNNNNNNNNNNNNNNNNNNNNNNNNNNNNNNNNNNNNNNNNNNNNNNNNNNNNNNNNNNNNNNNNNNNNNNNNNNNNNNNNNNNNNNNNNNNNNNNNNNNNNNNNNNNNNNNNNNNNNNNNNNNNNNNNNNNNNNNNNNNNNNNNNNNNNNNNNNNNNNNNNNNNNNNNNNNNNNNNNNNNNNNNNNNNNNNNNNNNNNNNNNNNNNNNNNNNNNNNNNNNNNNNNNNNNNNNNNNNNNNNNNNNNNNNNNNNNNNNNNNNNNNNNNNNNNNNNNNNNNNNNNNNNNNNNNNNNNNNNNNNNNNNNNNNNNNNNNNNNNNNNNNNNNNNNNNNNNNNNNNNNNNNNNNNNNNNNNNNNNNNNNNNNNNNNNNNNNNNNNNNNNNNNNNNNNNNNNNNNNNNNNNNNNNNNNNNNNNNNNNNNNNNNNNNNNNNNNNNNNNNNNNNNNNNNNNNNNNNNNNNNNNNNNNNNNNNNNNNNNNNNNNNNNNNNNNNNNNNNNNNNNNNNNNNNNNNNNNNNNNNNNNNNNNNNNNNNNNNNNNNNNNNNNNNNNNNNNNNNNNNNNNNNNNNNNNNNNNNNNNNNNNNNNNNNNNNNNNNNNNNNNNNNNNNNNNNNNNNNNNNNNNNNNNNNNNNNNNNNNNNNNNNNNNNNNNNNNNNNNNNNNNNNNNNNNNNNNNNNNNNNNNNNNNNNNNNNNNNNNNNNNNNNNNNNNNNNNNNNNNNNNNNNNNNNNNNNNNNNNNNNNNNNNNNNNNNNNNNNNNNNNNNNNNNNNNNNNNNNNNNNNNNNNNNNNNNNNNNNNNNNNNNNNNNNNNNNNNNNNNNNNNNNNNNNNNNNNNNNNNNNNNNNNNNNNNNNNNNNNNNNNNNNNNNNNNNNNNNNNNNNNNNNNNNNNNNNNNNNNNNNNNNNNNNNNNNNNNNNNNNNNNNNNNNNNNNNNNNNNNNNNNNNNNNNNNNNNNNNNNNNNNNNNNNNNNNNNNNNNNNNNNNNNNNNNNNNNNNNNNNNNNNNNNNNNNNNNNNNNNNNNNNNNNNNNNNNNNNNNNNNNNNNNNNNNNNNNNNNNNNNNNNNNNNNNNNNNNNNNNNNNNNNNNNNNNNNNNNNNNNNNNNNNNNNNNNNNNNNNNNNNNNNNNNNNNNNNNNNNNNNNNNNNNNNNNNNNNNNNNNNNNNNNNNNNNNNNNNNNNNNNNNNNNNNNNNNNNNNNNNNNNNNNNNNNNNNNNNNNNNNNNNNNNNNNNNNNNNNNNNNNNNNNNNNNNNNNNNNNNNNNNNNNNNNNNNNNCCUGUGAAUCAAAGUGAAAAUUUGUUAAGUUUUUAAAAAAUAAGAAAUUGGAUUUUGGGAGUCGCUUUGGACUCAGAUCUUGAAACUAAUCACAUAUAUGAACUCGUGGGAUCAUGGGUCGACAGAAUGGACCUGGGUUUUGAUUGGGUGAGCCCCGGGUUGACCUUUGUUUACUUUUUUGGAAAAGUAUAAAGAUCUUAACUUUAUCUAUUGCAAUGGAAUUCCCUAGCAUUGUUUGAUGAUAUUGAGUCGAUUUUCGUUAGAUUUGAGCCGUGUGGAGGCAGAUUUUAAGGGAAAAGCUAUUUUCGAGUGUUGAAUUAACCUAGUUGAGGUAAGUGUCUCACCUAACUUUGUGUGGGGGAAACUACCCCUUAGGAUUGGUAUUGUUUGCUUCAAUUGUGCUAAGUGAAAUCCGUGCACGCAAGGUGACGAGUGGGUACACAGAUUGUACGUGGUAGUUGACCGGUUUAGGCUACUUAGACUAUUUUUAUGCUUUAAUCAAAAUGCCAUAUCAUAUUCUAAAUUCUCAUAGUCAAUUUAUCCUUAAUUAUGUUAGACUAUCCUUACAUGCCUUAAUUGACUUGUUUAGUAAUUGUUCUAUAUCCUACUUGCUAAAUUAUAUUCAUGCUUUAGUUGAACUUGUUGCCUCUUUUAUUGUUACAUGCUAUCUCUUCAUUGUUAAUCAUCAUUAUUUGAAGUUAUUGUUCGUGUUAUCUCUUUCCUUAUUGUUUUUUCGUUACUUGAAGCAAUUGUUCAUGUUAUCCCUUUACUUGUUGAUUUCCAUUAUUUGAGACUCAUUGUUAAAUGUUAUCUCUUUUAUUGUGAGUUAAUCUUAUCUAAUAUCGUGGUUAUACAUUAUUUCUCUCAUUGUUGAGUUAUUUGGUAUUGAAGUUGUGAAAGUUGUUAAUACGUUGAGGCGAUGUUGGUUAUUAUUGAAACAUUUAUCUUAUUGAGCAUUUUUCAUAUAUUGUUGUUGUUGAUAUUCUUGUAUACGUUGUGGUGCAGCCAUGGGCUAUUAUUGUGGAAACAUUGGUAUUGUUGUUGUUGUUGGCAAGUUGUGAUAUAUGGGCACUUGUGGUGCAAAUUGUUCUUGUGAUAUGAUAUUGACACACAUGCGGCGAUAUAAGGCUUGGGGUUAAUGUGCAUGCAGUGGUAUAUGGUGGGAUUUAUGUGCGUGUUGCUUGUAGGGGAACUACGUGAAGCCACACGGCAUCAUAAGGUGGGCUAAAGUGCGUGUAGCUAUUUCGGGAGAAAUGUUUUCAAAAACCUCUUUCAAAUGUAAGGCUCACGCGACGGUAUAAGGAAAAAUUGUAAUUGAAAUUGAGUAAUGUGAAUACGAGGCGGUACCUCGGUUAUGAUUCUUGAUUAUACGAGGCAGUACCUCGGUUUUGAUUUCAAUAUACAUGAGGCAGUACCUCGUUGUGAUUCUUGCUGUUUAUUUCAUGUUGCAAAAUGUUAUGGUGGGAAUAUUUCUUGUUUUUUUCAUUCUUUAUUGUUCUAGCAGUUGUUGUCCGUACAUGAUCAUUGUAUCCCAUUUAGUUGCUUCUUUUAUGGUAUUUCCAUUGUUGAUUUCCAGUACUAGUUCAUGCUAUUACCUUGUUUCAUAUAAGUUGUUUCUUCACUUUCCAUUAUAUAUCCGUAUUGCAUUUUUGUACUGUUUAAAUAUAUCAUAGUAGGUGUCUUAACCUAGACUCAUCACUACUCUACUGAGGUUAGGCUUGAUACUUACUGGGUACCGUUGUGGUGUACUCAUACUACACUUCUGCACAAUUUUUUUAUGCAGAUCCAGGUGUGUCUGCUCAUGCCGGUCGUUAGAUAUUACCUGCUAGCUGACUUUAUUGGAGACUUCAAGUUAUGUCUACUCAGCGUCCGCAGGCCUCGGAGUCACCUUCCCUUGUUCUCAUUUACUAUUGUAUUUUCUCUUAAAUAAUGAUGUAUUAGAUAUUUUAGUUUAUUCAAUUGUCCUUAUGACUCUGUUCCACAGUUCUUGGGGAUUGUAUGGUUGAGAUUUUGCUUUUCAGAAGUUAUAUGAGUUUAUCAAACUGGGUUUAAGUAUUUUGUUAUUUAUAUCUGUUCAAUUGUUAUCAGAUAUUAGGCUUACCUAGUCGUAGAUACUAGGUUCCAUCACGAUAUCCUAUGGAGAGAAAUUGGGACCGUGAUAAGUUGGUACUCUACGUUCAUAGGUGUUAUGAGUCAUAAGCAGAUUUAGCAGUGUCUUACAGAUUGGUACAGAGACGUUUGUACUUAUCUUCGAGAGGCUACAGAGGUAUUAGGAAAACAUCACUUCUUUGAUUCCUUAUCGUGAGAAUUGGUUGAUUUAGAAAACUAAAUCUUUGACUUUCUAUUACCUGAUAGAUGGUGAGGACACGCACUGCUGGAUCUGACGAUCAGACACUCACGCCCUCUGCUAGAGCCGCGAGACAACGGGGCCGGGGCAGAGGCCGAGGAGGGGCAUGUGGUACAGCCAGGGCACCUGCCCGACCUGCAACAGAGAAGCCACCAGUAGCUCCAGUCAGGGGACAUGCACUCGAGGCGCCUAUUUCCACCCCAGCACUUCAGGAGACCCUCGCAUAGUUCCUGAGUAUGUUCGGUACCUCAGCUCAGGCGGGGUUGAUCUCACUUGCACCAGCCACAUCUCAGACUGGGGGAGGAGCAUAGACUCCUGUGGCCUGUACCCCAGAGCAGCAGGUCCAGGUUGAUUAGGUCCCAGAUGUUAUACCGAUACAAACCGUUGCUCCGAUGUAGCCCCUGGUUAGGGCACCAGCUUCUGAGAAGGAGCAACUUAGGCUCUAGAGGUUUAAGAAGUAUCAUCCUCCUACUUUUAGUGGAUUGGCUUCAGAGGACCGCACAUGUCUUUCUUGAGGACUGCCACGGUAUUCUCCGCACUAUGGGUAUUGUGGAGACGAGUAGGGUUGCUUUUACUAUGUUCCAGCUAAAUGGAGCGACAUAUCAGUGGUGGCGGGCAUACUAGGUGGAUAGCCCAACCGAUGCAGCUUCACUUACAUGGGAUCGAUUUUCAGAGUUUUUCUUGAGAGAGUUUGUUCAUCAGACCCUUCAGGAUGCAUAGCGCGCGGAGUUUGAGCAGUUGUGCCAGGGUGCUAUGACAGUGUCGGAGUAUGCUGUCCAAUUCAGUGAUUUGUCCAGGCCUGCACCUGCUUUGGUUUCUACAGUUAGGGAGCGAGUCGUUAUCGAGGNNNNNNNNNNNNNNNNNNNNNNNNNNNNNNNNNNNNNNNNNNNNNNNNNNNNNNNNNNNNNNNNNNNNNNNNNNNNNNNNNNNNNNNNNNNNNNNNNNNNNNNNNNNNNNNNNNNNNNNNNNNNNNNNNNNNNNNNNNNNNNNNNNNNNNNNNNNNNNNNNNNNNNNNNNNNNNNNNNNNNNNNNNNNNNNNNNNNNNNNNNNNNNNNNNNNNNNNNNNNNNNNNNNNNNNNNNNNNNNNNNNNNNNNNNNNNNNNNNNNNNNNNNNNNNNNNNNNNNNNNNNNNNNNNNNNNNNNNNNNNNNNNNNNNNNNNNNNNNNNNNNNNNNNNNNNNNNNNNNNNNNNNNNNNNNNNNNNNNNNNNNNNNNNNNNNNNNNNNNNNNNNNNNNNNNNNNNNNNNNNNNNNNNNNNNNNNNNNNNNNNNNNNNNNNNNNNNNNNNNNNNNNNNNNNNNNNNNNNNNNNNNNNNNNNNNNNNNNNNNNNNNNNNNNNNNNNNNNNNNNNNNNNNNNNNNNNNNNNNNNNNNNNNNNNNNNNNNNNNNNNNNNNNNNNNNNNNNNNNNNNNNNNNNNNNNNNNNNNNNNNNNNNNNNNNNNNNNNNNNNNNNNNNNNNNNNNNNNNNNNNNNNNNNNNNNNNNNNNNNNNNNNNNNNNNNNNNNNNNNNNNNNNNNNNNNNNNNNNNNNNNNNNNNNNNNNNNNNNNNNNNNNNNNNNNNNNNNNNNNNNNNNNNNNNNNNNNNNNNNNNNNNNNNNNNNNNNNNNNNNNNNNNNNNNNNNNNNNNNNNNNNNNNNNNNNNNNNNNNNNNNNNNNNNNNNNNNNNNNNNNNNNNNNNNNNNNNNNNNNNNNNNNNNNNNNNNNNNNNNNNNNNNNNNNNNNNNNNNNNNNNNNNNNNNNNNNNNNNNNNNNNNNNNNNNNNNNNNNNNNNNNNNNNNNNNNNNNNNNNNNNNNNNNNNNNNNNNNNNNNNNNNNNNNNNNNNNNNNNNNNNNNNNNNNNNNNNNNNNNNNNNNNNNNNNNNNNNNNNNNNNNNNNNNNNNNNNNNNNNNNNNNNNNNNNNNNNNNNNNNNNNNNNNNNNNNNNNNNNNNNNNNNNNNNNNNNNNNNNNNNNNNNNNNNNNNNNNNNNNNNNNNNNNNNNNNNNNNNNNNNNNNNNNNNNNNNNNNNNNNNNNNNNNNNNNNNNNNNNNNNNNNNNNNNNNNNNNNNNNNNNNNNNNNNNNNNNNNNNNNNNNNNNNNNNNNNNNNNNNNNNNNNNNNNNNNNNNNNNNNNNNNNNNNNNNNNNNNNNNNNNNNNNNNNNNNNNNNNNNNNNNNNNNNNNNNNNNNNNNNNNNNNNNNNNNNNNNNNNNNNNNNNNNNNNNNNNNNNNNNNNNNNNNNNNNNNNNNNNNNNNNNNNNNNNNNNNNNNNNNNNNNNNNNNNNNNNNNNNNNNNNNNNNNNNNNNNNNNNNNNNNNNNNNNNNNNNNNNNNNNNNNNNNNNNNNNNNNNNNNNNNNNNNNNNNNNNNNNNNNNNNNNNNNNNNNNNNNNNNNNNNNNNNNNNNNNNNNNNNNNNNNNNNNNNNNNNNNNNNNNNNNNNNNNNNNNNNNNNNNNNNNNNNNNNNNNNNNNNNNNNNNNNNNNNNNNNNNNNNNNNNNNNNNNNNNNNNNNNNNNNNNNNNNNNNNNNNNNNNNNNNNNNNNNNNNNNNNNNGGUAGGAGGUAAUGAUUGCUUGGUGGUUAAAGGGUAUGUGGGGCCGUGAGAGAGAUAAUAGGGAGGACAAAAGGCCUUGUGGUACAAGAGGAUUUAGUGGUGGUCACGCUGCAGCUACAACCCGUCAUGGUAUGGGCUACGUGAGUUGUCCAGUUCAUUCAGCACUUUUAGCUUCUAGUGGUGCUCCGAUUGUUUUGAGGUCUCAGGUUGCAUACUUUGCUCAGCCACUUUCUAGUGCACCUCAUGCACGGGGUGCCUUCAGCGGUCAGCCCAACCGACCAGGCCCAAGCCAUUCCCAGCCUCCAUGCCCACUGAGAGCUUCCUUUGAGUGUGGCGAUACCCGCCACAUGGUCAGAGACUGCCCCAGACUCAGGAGGGGUGCACCUUCUUAGACUACUCAUGCUCCAUAAAUUCAGUCAGGUCCGUAGACUUCUCAGGCCAUGAUUGAUGUCCUUGUUGCCGCUCCACCCGCAUAGCCAGCUAGGGGUGGGGGAUAGGCGGGUAGAGGUGACCCUAGAGGGGGAAGCCAUGCCAGAUUCUAUGCUUUUUUUGGGUAGGAUAGAGACAGUUUCUUCAGACUUACUUAAUACAAGUAUGGUUUCGGUUUGCCAUAGAGAUGCAUCAGUCUUAUUUAAUCCGGGAUCCACUUAUUCAUAUGUGUCAUCUUACUUUGUUUUAUAUUUGGAUGCAUCUCGUGAUUCUUUGAGUUCUCCUAUUUAUGUUUUCACGCCUGUGGGAGAUUCUAUCGUUGUGGACCGCGUGUAUCGGUCGUUUUUAUUUAUUAUUGGUGAUUUUGAGACCAGAGUUGAUCUAUUAUUACUUAGUGUGAGCACCUAAUUUUUGACCAUACUUGAGAUUUUUCGACACUUUUUAGUAUGUAAAUAAUUUUAAGUUUAAUAUACAUAUUUUAGCCUUUAUUUCAUUUUUAGUAAGUUUUAUUUAAGAAAAUUAAAAAUCAAAUUUUUUUUUAUAUGUUCUUGAUUUUAAAGUAUUUAGCUAGUAUUUUUAUUUUACACUCUUAAAAGAAAAAUAAAAAUAUUAAAUAAAGCAAGAACCAAUAAGUCAUUUACAUGUGACAAGAUUCUUCCUAAUCUUUUCCUAAUCUUUUAUAACAAAGUCACUUGCUCUCCUUCAAAAAUCACAUAGCACUCUUUUUCUUGGACAAGAAUUAAUUCACACUCACCAGUACACUUAAAAAUACACAGUGCACGUUAGAAAUAGGCUCACAAAUACUGAUCAGCAUAUGGAGAAAGAUUCCCUCAACAAUGCAUGACUCACGUCCUUAUCCACAAGGCACCUUCUGAGAAUUUGCUCUCCAAUUCACACUCUUAAGCACUCUCACUCCUCCUAUAUAAACACACACAAAAAAAGGGGACACAUUGAGAGGGGACGGGCAAAAAAGGAAGCUUUCUUCUUCUUCCUCACAAUUACAUCAAAUAAAACUUCAAAUCCCUCACCAAACUCCAGUGAAAAUAAGUCCAAAAGGCAGCAAAAACCUGCUGCAAAUAGCCCCUAAAAAUACAGCACCUUUACUCCCACAAAACGCUAUGAAAAUCAUCAUCAAACAACCAUAACUGCUGCCCCAAAAAUAGCCCUUAAAGCUCCAUGAGAACGCAGCAAAAUCAGCACCAUUAAAGCACCAAAAUGACCUCAAAUCGGCCGCCGAACCAGCUACAAAACCAGCACCAAACAGUCCCCAAAACACCAUGUAAAGCAGCCAUUAACCACCCCAAACUCCUGCUGAAAUUCAGCUCCAAACCCAGCUGAAAAACAGCCCUUCGAAACCAGCAAAGCAGCUGCGAAAAUGACUCCAUAACACAACCAUGAAACUCCUCAAAAUUCCACCUGAAACCAACGUGAAAAUCAGCUGGGAAAACUCAGCUGAAAUCUGCCAUUGAAAUGCACCAAAAUCAGCCUCCGAAACACCUCAAAUCCACCCCAAAACGCAGCCAUUAAAGCUGCUCAAAACCACUCAAAAACGAGCAAAAAGGGACCUGAAACAGUAGCUCAAAUCGCUGCUAAUUCUACCAUGAAACAGUACCAAAAUACUACCAGAAUUCCAGCCGAACAAUCCUUGGAACACAAGUUUUAAGUCGAGUUUGAGGUUGCGGAUGAGGUCGUGGUUCGUUAGCUCCGGUCGAGUCCAUCUGAAAUUCAGUAUAUCGGAGAGUUUGUAAAAGACUAGGUUUGGAGGCUCUUUGUUCUGUUUGUUCAGAUUCGUCUGAGGUUCAUUCUUCUUUACAGUUUUCGCUCCUAAUACAUUUUUUAUUGUCAGUUUUCUUCUGAUAUUUGCUGCUUUGUCCUAUUAGUUGCUUGAGUUAGUGUUUCGCUGAUUUUUUUCGCUGUGCUUUUGUGGAAAGUUCAAUGCAUUGGUUUAUCCUAUUUUUAUGAUUGUUUGGAUUAUAAUUAUAUGGGUGUAGCUUGGUGAACAAAUUAAAAAGUGUUGAUGGGUCAUGAGCUUUUAGCUUUUAUAAAAACGGGAAAGCUCUGCUUGGGACUAGCUAUUGUAAUAAAAUUAUUUCAUUAAGUGGGCAGGGGAAUUUGCUUCUCUUUCAAGGAUAAUUGGUCAUAUUGGAGAGUGGACCUUUUAAGUAUAAUUUAAUGGAGUCUAGAUAUAGCUGCUCCGUUUGCACUUAGUUUGCUGGCCCAUUCACAAAUUGGUUGGCCCAAUUAUUGUAAAUAUAUAAGAUGUUCUUUUCUUUAACUACUACAUGGGCCAACUAUCAAUGAAAUUCAUAACAUCUUCCCCACGAUUUUACUUCGAUAACUUCGUGCCUCGCAAUAAUAUCAAAGGAGAGAAUGAAUAAUAAACACCGUUAGAGUGCUUUAGGUGCACUUUUAAUUUAUUAUCGUGAUUGUGUACAUGUUCGCGUGACAUGAUUACGAUUCCCAAAAUAAAUCAAAGUACGCGUUCGCGCGACUUUGGCCAAAUAAUCUUAAUAAUAAUAAAGUAUUAUUAAUUGUGUAUACGUACGCGUGACAUGAUUUUCGCACACCAAAUAAAACAGAUUUAUACACAUGUGAUCCGUUUCCAAGAUAAAUCCAUAAAGCGCCAUAAUUAAAAGCGGUAAAAGGUAAAACGUGCAUAGGUUAUAAAAAUACUUAAUUAAACAAUUUAAUUAAGCCAGGUAUGAUUAAAAGCGACCGUGCUAAAACCACAGAACUCGGGAAUGCCUAACACCUUCUCCCGGGUUAACAGAAUUCCUUACUCGGUCUUUUAUUUUUUGCAGACUUUAAACAUAGUUAAAUUUCCUCGAUUUGGGAUUUAAAAUAAACCGGUGACUUGGGACACCAUAAAGUAUUCCAAGUGGCGACUCUAAAAUAAAAUAAAUAAUCCCAUUUCGAAACCGGUGAUUGUCAUGCCAAGACCGUGACGCUGGCUAUGCCAGGUGUGAUGUUUAUCUAGCCUUUGUGAGGGAUGUCAGUGCUGAUCCUCCUACCGUUGAGUCAGUUCCGGUAGUGAGAGACUUUCCUGAUGUAUUUUCAGUAAAUUUUCCAAGCAUGUCGCCCGAUAGGGAUAUCGAUUUUGGUAUUGACUUGUUGCUGGAUACUCAGCUCAUUUCUAUUCCAUCAUAUCGUAUGGCCCCAGCGGAGCUGAAGGAGCUAAAGGAGCAGUUGCAAGAGUUACUUGAUAAGGGAUUCAUUCAGCCUAGUGUGUUGCCGUUGGGUGCUCCGGUCUUGUUUGUGAAGAAGAAGGAUGGUUCUAUACUCAUGUGCAUUGAUUAUCGUCAGUUGGACAAGGUUACAGUGAAGAAUAAGUAUCCAUUGCCACGUAUUGAUGACCUAUUUGAUAAGCUACAGGGUGCAAGGGUAUUCUCCAAGAUUGAUUUGCGGUCAGGUUAUCAUCAGCUGAAGAUUCAGGAUCCAGAUAUUCCAGAGACUGCCUUUAGGACUCGGUAUGGUCACUACGAGUUCCUCGUGAUGUCGUUUGGGCUGACCAAUACCCCACCAACAUUUAUGCACCUGAUGAAUAGUAUAUUCCAGCCUUAUCUUGAUUCAUUUGUCAUUGUGUUUAUUAACGACAUCUUGGUGUACUCCCGCAGCCGGGAAGAUCAUGAGCAACACUUGAGGAUCGUGCUCCAGACCUAGGUCAUGUGGUGUCGAGUGAAGGGAUCAAGGUAGAUUCGAAGAAUAUUGAAGCAAUGCAGAUUUGGACUAGACCAUCUUCAGCUAUAUAGAUCCGGAGUUUUCUUGGUUUGGCCGGGUAUUAUCUUCGUUUCGUAGAGGGUUGCUCAUUUAUUGCUGCACCUAUGACGAGAUUGACCCAGAAGGGUGCUCCUUUCAGAUGGACUGAGGAGUGUGAGGCGAGUUUUCAAAAGCUCAAGACUGCUUUGACUACAACCCAAUGUUAGUGUUGCCUACGGGCUCCGGAUCCUAUACUGUGUAUUGUAAUGCGUCACAUGCUGGCCUUGGCGCGGUGUUAAUGCGAGACGGUAGGGUGAUUGCCUACACAUGUCGACAUGUGAAGACCCAUGAGAAGAAUUGCCCAGUCCGCGACUUGGAGUUGGAAGCCAUUGUUCAUGCAUUGAAGAUCUAUAUGCAUUAUUUGUACGGUGUCCAUUGCGAGGUCUUUACCUACCACCGGAGUUUGCACCAUCUAUUCAAAUAGAAAGAUCUUAACUUGCGGCAUCGAAGGUGGUUAGAGUUACUUAAGGACUAUUAAAUCACCAUUCUAUAUCAUCCCGGGAAGGCUAAUAUGGUGUCCGAUGCCUUGAGUCGAAAGACGGAGAGUUUGGGUAGUUUAGCAUAUCUACCGGUAGCAGAGAGGCCAUUAGCAUUGGAGGUUCAGGCCUUAGCCAACCAGUUUAUUAGAUUGGAUGUUUCGGAUCCUAGUCGAGUCCUUGCCUGGGUGGUUUCUCAUUCUUCUCUAUAUGUCCGUAUUAGAGAGUAUCAGUAUGACGACCCCACUUGCUUGUCCUCAAGGACACGGUUCAGCAUGGCGAUGCCAAGGAGGUUACUAUUAAGGAUGACAGUGUAUUACGGAUACAGGGCUGGUUAUGUGUGCCCAAUGUGGAUGGUUUGCGUGAGUUGAUUCUUCAGGAGGCCUACAGUUCACGGUACUUCAUUCAUCCGGGUGCCGUUAAGAUAUAUCAGGACUUGAGGCAACACUAUUGGUGGAGGAGGAUGAAGAAGGACAUAGUGAAGUAUAUAGCUCGGUGCCUAAAUUAUUAGCAGGUGAAGUAUGAGCAAUAACGACCGGGUGAUUUGCUUCAGCGGCUUGAGAUUCCUGAGUGGAAUGGGAGCGUGUCACCAUGGACUUCGUUGUUAGACUUCCAUGGACUUAGAAGAAGUUUGACGCGGUAUGGAUGAUUGUGGGCAAGUUGACCAAGUCGGCUCAUUUCAUUCCGGUAGUGACUACCUAUUCUUUAGAGUAGCUGGCUCAGAUCUACAUUCACGAGAUUGUUCGACUUCAUGGCAUACCAGUAUCCAUCAUUUCUAACCGGGGUACACAGUUCACAUCGCAUUUCUGGAAAGCUGUACAGUGUGAGCUAGGCACAUGGGUUGAGUUGAGUACAACAUUUCAUCAUCAGGCAGACAGACAUUCCGAGCGCACUGUUUAGAUAUUGGAUGAUAUGGUCAGCGCCUGUGUUAUGGAUUUUAGGGGUGCUUGGGAUCAGUUCUUGCCACUUGCGGAGUUUGCCUACAACAACAGCUACCAGUCGAGUAUUCAGAUGGCUCCGUAGGAGGCUCUAUAUGGGAGACGAUGCCGUUCUCCAGUUGGGUGGUUUGAGCCAGAAAAGGCUAAAUUAUUAGGCAUGGAUCUGGUUUGAGAUGCUUUGGAGAAGGUCAAGAUGAUCCAGGAUUGGUUUUGUACAACCCAAUCUAGAUAGAAUAGUUAUGCAGAUCGGAAGGUUCGCGAUGUUGAAUUCAUGGUUGGAAAGUGAGUCUUGCUCCGGGUUUCACCCAUGAAGGGUGUGGUGAGGUUCGGAAAUAAGGGCACGUUGAGCCCUAGGUAUAUCGGACAUUUUGAGAUUCUUGAGAGGACUGGAGAGGUGGCCUACAAGCUUGACUUGCCACCUAGUUUAUCUGCGGUUCAUCCGAUGUUCCAUGUAUCUAUGCUCCAGAAGUAUUAUGGUGAUCCGUCUCAUGUUUUAGACUUUAGCACAGUCCAAUUGGAUGAGGAUUUGACUUAUAUUGAGGAGCUAGUGGUGAUCUUGGACAGACAUGUCUGGAAGUUGAGAUCAAAGGAUAUUGCUUUAGUGAAGGUUCAAUAGAGAGGUCAUGCAGUCGAGGAAGUGACCUGGGAGACCGAGCACAACAUGUAGAGUCGUUAUCCUCAUCUAUUCACCGCUUUAGGUAUGUCCUUAUGCACGUUCGAGGACGUUUUCAUGCUUCACACAUGUGUGUUUAUGCUUUUAUGACUUGCGGGGUUGGUUAGUUUCGUUCCGCGAAGUUUUCAGGUUGAUUUGGAUCCUUGAUUCUUGACUUAGAAGUUUAAAUUUGAAAUUGUUGACCAAACUUUGACUUUUCUGAAAACGAUACCGGAAUUAUGUUUUUAUGACUCCGAUAACUUCGUAUUGUGAUUUCGGACUUGGGCGUAGAUUUUGGAAGUCCGUAGGUUGAUUUGUGUUGAUUUGUCGAAAUUUGGCAAUUAAAAGUUGAAAAGCUUGACCAUAGGUUGACUUUUAGCUAUCGAGCCCAGAAUUUAAUUUUGGGACUUGGAAUAGGUCCGGUAUGGUAUUUAGAACUUGUCUGCAAAAUUUGGUUUCGUUUGGAGUUGUUUUGAUAUAAUUCAGACGCUUAGUUGUAAUUCUAGAAGUUCUUGAAAAUUUCUUUGAACAUCAUGCGUUUUAGUGUUUGAUUCGUAGUUUUAGAUGUUAUUUUUGAAUUUUUAUCGUGCGAGUGAGUUCGUAUGAUAUUUUUAUACUUGUGUGGAUGUUUGGUUUGGAGCCCUGAGGGCUCGGAUGAGUUUCAGACAUGUUUUAGAGUCCUUUGGACUGAAAAUGGCAAGCAUUUGGUGUCUGGUGCUCUGGUGUCGCAAAUGCAAACACCAAGUUCUCAUUUGCAAAGGCGACAGGUGAGUGGCAGUUGUCGUAAAUGUUACCUCCCCUUCGCAUUUGCGAAGCUAUCAGAAAUUGGAUAGUGUUUGCAAUUGCGAACAAUUGUUCGCCUUUGCGAUAUUUCCCAGUUCGCAAUUGCGAAGACUUAAUCGCAAUUGCGAUGUAUGCUGAGUCUGUGAGGGUUCGCAAAUACGAGCCCUGAUAUGCAAUUGCGAGGGUUCACAAAUGCGAACCCUAUGUCGCAAAUUCGACAUCUCCCGCUGGUUAAAGGGCUGGGACACAGUAUUUUUGAACUCAUUCUCACAUUUUUGAACCCUAGACUCGGUAGGAGGCGAUUUGGAGAGAGAGUUUUCACCUACAAACCCUGAGUAGGUGAUUUUAAUCUAUUUCUAAUCAUAUUCCAUCAAUAUAUCUUAGAUUUUAACAUCAAAAUCCUAUGAAUCAAAGUGAAAAUUUGUGAAACUUUGUUAGGUUUUUGAAAAAUAAGAAAUUAAGUUUUGAGAGUCGAUUUGGACUCGGAUUUUGAAACUAAUCACAUAUAUGAACUCGUGAGGUCAUGGGUAGACGAAAUCUGCCAUUGGACUCGAGUUUUGACCGGGCGGGCCCUGGGUUGACCUUUGUUGACUUUUUGGGAAAAGUGUAAAGAUCUUAACUUUAUCUAUUGCAAUUGAAUUCUGUAGCAUUGUUUGAUGAUAUUGAGUCGAUUUUAUUUAGAUUUGAGCCGUGCGGAGGCGAACUUUAAGGGAAAAGCUAUUUUCGAGUGUUGAAUUAGCCUAGUUGAGGUAAGUGUCUUGCCUAAAUUUGUGUGGGAGAAACUACACCUUAUAAUUGGUAUUAUUUGCUUUUAUUGUGCUAAGUGAAAUCCGUGUACGCAAAGUGAUGAGUGGGUACACGGGUUGUACGUGGUAUUUGACCGGUUUAGGCUACUUAGACUAUUUUCAUGCUUUAAUCGAAAUGCCAUAUCAUGUUCUAAAUUCUCAUAGUCAAUUUAUCCUUAAUUGUGUUAGACUAUCCUUACAUGCCUUAAUUGACUUGUUUAGAACUUGUUCUACAUCCUACUUGCUAAAUUGCUCCCAUGCUUUAGUUGAACUUGUUGCCUCUUUUAUUGGUACAUUCUAUCUCUUCAUUGUUAAUCAUCAUUAUUUGGAAUUAUUGUUCGUGUUAUCUCUUUCCUUAUUGAUUUUUCGUUACUUGAAGUAAUUGUUCAUGUUAUCCCUUUACUUGUUGAUUUCCAUUAUUUGAGACUCAUUGUGAAAUAUUAUCUCUUUUAUUGUGAGUUAGUCUUAUCUAAUACCGUGGUUAUACAUUAUUUCACUCAUUGUUAAGUUAUUUGGUUUUGAAGUUGUGAAAGUCGUUAAUACGUUGAGGCGAUGUUGGUUAUUGUUGAAACAUCUAUCUUAUUGAGCAUUUUUUCAUUCAUUCAUUGUUGUUGAUAUUCUUGUAUACAUUGUGGUGGAUCCAUGGGCUAUUGUUGUGGAAUCAUUGGUAUUGUUGUGGUUUCUAGCAAGUUGUGAUAUAUGGGCACUUGUGGUGCAAAUUGUUAUUGUGAUAUGAUAUUGACGCGCAUGUGACGGUAUAAGGUUUGGGGUUAAUGUGCAUCCGAUGGUAUAAGGUGGGACUUAUGUGUGUGUGUUGCUUGUAGGGGAGCUACGUGAAGCCAUGUGGCAUCAUAAGGUGGGCUAAAGUGCGUGCAACUAUUUGGGGAAAACUGUUUUCAAAAACCUAUUUCAAAUGUAAGGCUCACGCGACGGUAUAAGGAAAGAUUGUAAUUGAAAUUGAGUAAUGUGAAUACGAGGCAGUACCUCAGUUGUGAUUCUUGAUUAUACGAGGCGGUACCUUGGUUUUAAUUUUAUUAUACCCCAGGCGGUACCUCGUUGUGAUUCUUGCUGUUUAUUUCAUGUUGCAAAGUGUUUUGGUGGGAAUAUUUUUUGUUGUUUCAUUCUUUUAUUAUUCUAGGAGUUGUUGUCUGUACAUGAUCAUUGUAGCCCCUUUAGUUGCUUCUUUUAUGCUGUUUCCAUUGUUGAUUUCCAGUAGUAGUUCAUGCUAUUAUCUUGUUUCGUAUCACUUGUUUCUUCACUUUCCAUUACAUAUACGUAUUACAUUUUUAUACUAUUUAUUUAUAUCCUAGUAUGUGUCUUGACCUGACCUCGUCACUACUCUACUGAGGUUAGGUUUGAUACUUACUGGAUACCGUUGUGUUGUACUCAUACUACGCUUCUGCAUAUUUUUUUGUGCUGAUCCAGGUGCAUCUGCUCGUGCCGGUCGUUAGAGAUUACCUACUAGCUUCCUUUUUUGGAGACUUCAAGGUAUGCCUGCUCGCCAUCCGCAGGCCUCAGAGUCACCUUCCCUUAUUCUCAGUUACUGCUGUAUUUUCUCUCAAACAAUGAUGUAUCAGAUAUUUUAGUUUAUUCAAUAGUGCUUAUGACUCUGUUCCACAGUUCUUAGGGAUUGUAUGGUUGAGAUUUUGCUUUUCAGAAGUUUUAUGAGUUUAUCAAACUGGGUUUAAGUAUUUUGUUAUAUACAAUUGUUCAAUUGUUAUCAAAUAUUAGGCUUACCUAGUCAUAGAGACUAGGUGCCAUCACGACAUCCUAUGGAGGGAAGUUGGGGUCGUGAUAUCAAGAUCCUUUCUCAAUACCUCACAACAUAAAUUCAUGUUCCUGACACAUGCCAAAUGUCCAAACCAAGCACCAAAAUGAAAACCGGGUGCCUACGCUCAUAGUGACACGACCCAAUUUCCCUUAUAGGCCGUAAUGGCGCCCAACGUAGUCGCUAGGCAAGCCAACGGUGAAUUAGCCGUGUAUUUAUUCUUUUUAUAAAUUUCAAAGUAGUUGAUUUUUAUUUAUUAAAUAAGUGAGAAGUGGAAAAUUUAAUAAAGUAAAGCGAAAAUUAAUGAAAGAGCAAAUGCAAUGAAAUAAAUGCUCAAAAGCCAUAAAGUCUACUAGCAAGUUUACAAGACCCGGUGUCACAAGUGUAUGAGCAACUAGUAGAAUAUACAAAUCACUAAGUUACUGUCUGAAAUAGAGUAGACAGAAAGUAAAUAUAAAAUAUAGACUCUGGGUGCUGCAGAACAGACUUAGAAAGCAGCUCACUACUAAGCCUCGAGGUAACGGGGGUGCAUGCCUGAAUGGACACUAGAUGCACAUGCCUCAAAUCCUACACGAUUAGUGCAGAAGUGUAGCGUGAGUACAUAAACAACAUGUAUCCAGUAAGUAUCCAUUCUAACCUCGAAGAAGUAGUGACGAAGGGUCGACAUUGACACUUACUAUGGGCCAAUAAUAAAAUACAGAAAUGCUAAAUAGGCAUGGAAUAUGUGAAUAAUAAAAAUAACUCAAUAGCAUGCAGUGAAUAAAUGAUUCUUUAACUGAUAGUAAAUUCCAAAACCCCGUUCUAACACAUACUAGUUCCAAAUCAACUUCGGUCAUUAAGUAAAUUAUAACCUCUCAAGCCAUAACAUAAUGUCAAGUGAAAUCGGGCUCUAAGUAUUAUCACGCACGAUUUAUGCCGAGGUCGUACAACCCGAUCCAAAAUACUGUGUGCACUGUCGAUGGUCGAACGACACAAACCAUAGAUGUAUCUAUUAUACUGCCGAAAUGAAUGACCCGCUCCCAUGAGAGUACAAAAGUUUACCUCGCUUGCGAAAGUACUUGCGACGCGAGAGUACAUGAAUUUCUCAGAGUUAUUAUGUAUUCCUCAAUUCUUCCCAAAAAUAAGAAAUCUAAAUUGGAAGUUUUCAACUUUAAAAUCUCUAGUCUCAGCUCUAUUUAAGAUAAUUAAUAUGCAUGACAAGCAUGACAGUACAAUUAAAUCAUGAUGUGAAUCUAAGACUACCCGGACAUCUCAUGGAAUAUAGCCGCGCGCGGACUCUCUUCACCUAGUGCGUACGUAGCUCCCCACACAAGUAAUACACAACAAAAAUACACCUAAGAGGAUGAGUUCCCUCUUACAAGAUUAGGCAAGAGACUUACCUCGUUCUCAAGCUCACUUGCGGUCCACUAGUCCACUCUAAAAGCCCCAAGUCGAUGCCGAACAAUUCGAAACUAGUCAAAUAUUACAUAAUUUAAUUAAUAUAUACUCAAAACUCCAUUAUUUAGCUAUUAGAGUAGUUACCCAACCCUAAUUGGGAGAUUCUUAAAAUUCGCCCCCAGGCUCACGUGCCCGAAUUCCGGAAAUUUUCGAAGAUAAAUAUUACCCAUAGCCUCACGAACUCAAAUAUAUAAUUUUUAUUUAAUUCCAUAACCAAAUUUCGUGGUUAAAUCCUAUUUCUAUCAAAACCCUAGGUUCUUCACAAAUCUCACAAGUUUUCACAAUCUUCCCAUGUUUAAUCUACCUAAAACCCCAUAAUUAACUUAAAAAUGGGUGGGAGUUACUUACCUUAGGAUAUUGAUGAGAAUCUCCCCUUAAAUGUGUUCUCAAAAUUGCCCAAGACCAAAUGAAAUGUGAGGGAAAAUGGCCUAAGUCUCGGAUUAAAAACCCUCACUGCCCAGCGACUCCCGCACCUACGACCACUUGAUCACAUCUGCGGAACCGCAAGUGCGGUCAAAAAGGUCGCACCAGUGAUCCCCCACUACCUCCAGCUUCCUCGCUUUUGCGGAUGGAGAGGCACUUGUGCGGUACCGCUUCUGUGGACUCCCUUCGCUUCUGGGUAUUCCUACCGCUUCUGCGACCCACAACCGGCUAGCCCAAGUCCGUAUCUGCGGAGCCUCGAUCGCUUCUGCGGGUGCACAGAUGCGGAAUAACCCUCACACCUAUGGCCACCCAGCUCCAGCCUUAGGUCCUCUUCUGCGACCACUGGUCCGCUUCGGCGAGGUCGCACCUGCAGCCAAAAUCUCGUAGGUGCGAAGGCACCAGAACUGAAGCACCAACAGUUCCCCCAAGCCAUUUCCGAGUCCGAGUCUGAUUCUAAUCCGUUUCACACACGGGGCCCCGGGACCCCAUCCAAUCAGACUCAUACAUCCAACAACAUGAUACAGACCCGCUCACAUGAUCAAAACACCAAAAUAACAUCUAGAAUUAAGAAUUGGACACCAAAACGCAUGAAUUCUACAUGAAACUCAAAAACUUCUAAAAACACUUCCGCGCGUCCGAUUUCUAUCAAAUCAACUCGGAAUGACGCAAAAUUUUGCAUGCAAGUCAUAAAUCACCAUACAGAACUACUCCCAGGCUCGAAAUCCCAAAUGGACCUCGAUAACACAAAAACCUACUCUAAACCAAACUUAAAGAACUUGAAAACCUUCAAUGUGCAAACUUCUAAUAUUAAGCGCCAAAAUGCUCCCGGGUCAUUCAAAACCCGAUCCGAAUAUAUGCCCAAGUCCAAAAUCAUCAUAGGAACCUAUUGCGACUGUCAAAUACCGGUUCCAAGGCCGUUUACUUAAAACGUUUACUCAAGGCAAACUUAACCAUUUUAAGCCAAUAUUAAGGAACUAAGUAUUCUGAUUUCAACCCGAACCCUUCCAAACCCGAACUAACCAUCCCCGCAAGUUAUAAAAUAGUAAAAACACGUAAGAGGAGUCUUAAUUAGGGGAUCAGGAAUCUAGAAAGCCUAACAACCGGUCGGGUCAUUACAUUCUCCACCUCUUAAACAAACGUUCAUCCUCGAACAGGUCUAGUAUCGUACCUGGAGUGCCGAAUAAGUAUGGAUAUAUGCUCCGCAUGUCCUUCUCGGUCUCCCAAGUUGCCUCUUCGACUAGUUGACCCCUCCACUGAACCUUUACCGCAGAAAUCUUCUUGGACCUCAAUUGGCGAACCUGUAUGUCAACAAUGGCAACUGGCUCCUCCUCAUAACCCAGGCUCUCAUCUAGCUAAAGCUGUAGUCUAACACAUGCGACCUAUCAGCAUGAUACUUCCAAAUCAUAGACACAUGAAAAUCCAGAUGAACUCCCAAUAGAUUGGGAGGCAAAGCAAGCUCAUAAGCAACCUCCCCAACUCGCCUUAAUAUCUCAAAUGGGCAUAUAAACCUUGGGUUCAACUUGCCCUUCUUCCUGAACCUCAUUAUUCCCUUCAUCGGCGAGACUUUCAAGAGAACCUUCUCGCCCACCAUAAAUGAUAAAUCACGCGCCUUCUAAUCCACGUAAUCUUUCUGUCUAGACUGUGUUGUGCAAAGUCGCUUCUGAAUCAACAUUUCCUUUUCCAAAGCAUCCUUCACAAAAUCAGUACCAUAUAACUUAGCCUCGCCGGGCUCAAACCAUCCGAUCGGCGAACGACAUCGCUGUCCAUAUAAAGCCUCAAAUAGAGCCAUCUCGAUGCUGGACUGAUAACUAUUGUUGUAAGAGAACUUGGCCAAAGACAAAAAUCGAUCCCACUGCUCUCCGAAGUCAAUCACACAUGCUCUGAGCAUAUCCUCCAAGAUCUAAACCGUCCGCUCUGGCUGCAUGUCGGUCUGCUGAUGAAAGGCUGUGCUGAGCUCUACCCGGGUCCUCAACUCACUCUGUACUGCCCUCCAGAAAUGCGAAGUAAACUGGGGGCCUCUAUCUGAUAUGAAGGAAACAUGCACACCAUGCAACCGAACAAUCUCCUGAAUGUAAAUCUGGGCCAAUCUCUUUGAAGAAUACAUAGUCACAACGGGAAUGAAGUAUGCCGACUUGGUCAACCUAUCGACAAUGACCCAAACUGAAUCAAACUUCCUCAAAGUCCGCAGCAACCCAACCACGAAGUCCAUAGUAAUGCGGUCCCAUUUCCACUCAGGUAUAACCAUUUGCUGGAGUAGGCCACCUGGCCUCUGAUGCUCAUACUUAACCUGCUAGAAAUUUAGGCACCUUACUACAUAUUCAACUAUGUCCUUCUUCAUCCGCUGCCACUAAAAUGCUGCCUCAGAUCGCGAUACAUCUUCGUAGCACAUGUAUGAAUAGAAUACCGAGAACUGUGUGCCUCUUCUAGAAUCUCCUCCAUCAAUCCGUCAACAUUAGGAAUACAUAGACGACCUAGGAGUCGCAGAACACCAUCCUCAUCAAUAACAACCUCCUUGGCACCACCUUGUAGUACCGUCUCUCUAAGAACCAACAAGUGUGGAUCGUCGUACUGACGAGCCUUAAUCUGCUCGAAUAAUGAAGACUGAGUGACGACGCAUGCAAGAACUUGCCUGGGCUCGGAAAUAUCCAACCUCACAAGUCUGUUAGCCAAGGACUAAAUGUCCAGCGCUAAUGGUCUCUCAUCUGCUGAAAUGAAUACCAAACUACCCAUACUCGCCGCCUUUCUGUUCAAGGCAUCCGCUACCACAUUCGCCUUGCCUGGAUGAUAAAAGAUGGUAAUAUCAUAAUAUUUUAGUAACUCUAGCCACCUGCGCUGCCUUAAACUGAGAUCCCUCUACUUGAACAAAUGCUGCAAGCUACGAUGAUCUGUGUAAACCUCACAGGACACCCCAUAAAGAUAAUGCCUCCAGAUCUUAAGAGCAUGAAUUAUCGCGACCAACUCCAAAUCAUGCAUGGGGUAAUUCUUCUCGUGGGGCUUCAACUUACGUGAAGCAUAUGCAAUAACUCGCCCUCCUGCAUCAAUACACAACCUAUGCCAACUUGUGAAGCGUCGCAAUGCACAAUAUACAUUCCUGAACCGGAAGGCAACACUAACACCGGUGCUGAAGUCAAGGAGGUCUUGAGCUUCUGAAAGCUCGCCUCACAUUCGUCGAACCAUAGGAAAGGAGCACCCUUCUUGGUCAAUCUAGUCAAAGGUGCUGUAAUGGAUGAGAAGCCCUCCACAAACCGACUAUAAUAACCUGCUAACCCUAAGAAGCUCCUAAUCUCUUUCACUGUGGUAGGACGAGGCCAACUCUAAACUGCCUUGAUCUUCUUGGGAUCUACCUUAAUACCCCCGCCUGAUACAACAUGCCCCAAGAAUGCCACAGAAUCCAACUAGAACUCACACUUGGAGAACUUAACAUAUAGCUUCUGUUUUCGCAAGGUCUGAAGCACCACUCUCAAAUGCUGCUCGUGCUCCUCCAUGCUACAUGAGUAGAUUAAUAUGUCAUCAAUGAAGACAAUGACAAACAAGUCAAUAUAUGGCCGGAACACCCAAUUCAUCAAGUCCAUAAAUGCCGCCAGGGCGUUAGUCAAACUGAAGGACAUCACUAGAAACUCAUAGUGGCCAUAUCUAGUUCGGAAAGCCGUCUUCGGAACAUCUGAAUCAUGAAUAUUCAAUUGAUGAUACCCCAUUCUCAAGUCAAUCUUAGAGAACACCUUUGCACCCUGCAACUGGUCAAACAAAACAUCAAUACGCGGCAACAAGUACUUUUUCUUAAUGGUAACUUUAUUCAACUGGCGGUAAUCGAUGCACAUUCUCAUAGUCCCAUCUUUCUUCUUCACAAACAACACAGGUGCACCGCAAGGCGACACACACGGUUUGAUGAACUCCUUUGCUAUCAACUCCUCAAGCUGCUCUUUCAACUCCUUCUACUUUUUCGAAUCCAUGCGGUACGGUGGAAUAGCGAUAGGCUGGGUACCUAGAGCCAAAUCAAUACAGAAAUCGAUAUCACGAUUUGGUGGCAUGCUUGGAAGAUCAGCAGGAAACACAUCAGAGAACUCCCAUGCCACGGGCACUGAAUCAAUCACUGGAGUUUCUGUAGUAGUAUCCCGAGCCUAAGCUAGAUAAGCCAAAGAACCCUUCUCGACCAUGUGCCGAGCCUUUAGAAAAGAGAUAACCCGACUAGGUGCACUAACGGACGAGCCCUUCCACUUUAAUCUAGGCAACUCUGGCAUCGCCAAGGUAACAGUCUUGGCAUGGCAAUCAAGGACAACAUAAUAUGGAGACAACCAGUCAAUGCCUAGGAUGACCUCAGAGUCGGUCAUAUCAAGCAACAGAAGAUCUACUUUAGUCUCACAACCACAGAAAGUCACGAUAUAGGACCGAUAGAUCCGAUCCACAACAACAGAAUCGCCCACUGGCAUGGACACAUAAACAAGAGCACCGAAGGAUUCGCGAGGAAGACCUAGAAAAUGAGAAAAUAGACAUGAAACAUAUGAAUAUGUAGAUCUUGGAUCAAAUAGUACCGAAGCAUCCUUACCGCAGACAUAAAUGAUACCUAUGAUCCCGACAUCUGAGGCUACUGCAUCUGGUCUGGCUGGAAAGGCAUAGAACCUAGCUAGAGCGCCACCUGACUGGCCUCCACCUCUAAGAUGGCCCCUACCAACCUGCCCUCUGCCUCUGAGCGACCGGACGGCUGGUGCGGUAGCUGGUGCUGUAAUCAUAGGCUGAUGACCCUGCUGUACAGCCUUGCCCCGGAGUCUGGAGCAAAAUCUCUUCAUGUUGCCAGGAUCCCCGCACUCAAAACAACCCCUCGGAAUGGUGGACUGCUGACCUAAAGUCUGACCCUGAUGUCCUAAAUACCCACUAGAGGAACCCUGAAUAGCUGGCAGGCGGUAGGCGCUCUCUGGAAUAGCGUAAAAUAGGGCCGCACUGGAUAUGUGGUCCUGCUAGACUGACCCCUCACAAACUGACCUGUGCCCCCAAUCAUAGCACCACUGAACCCUUCAGAAUAUUGAAACCGCUUGUCCCUUGGCAUCUGCUCUCAUCUCCGCUGACGAACACCUUUGAUCCUCCGAGCUAUCUCUACAACUAACUCGUAAGAGGUCCCCAUCUCAACCUCUCGGGCCAUAGUGGCCUGGAUACCAGAGUGCAAACCUGCAAAAAACCUCCGCACUCUCUCUGCAUUGGUAGGAAGUAUCAAAAGUGUAUGGCGAAACAACUUAGAGAAUCUCGCCUCAUAGUCGGUCACCGAAAUCAGACCCUGCCAGAGCUGCUCGAACUGAAAUCGCAACUCUUCCCUCUGAGAGGGUAGAAUAUAUCUAUCCAGGAAGAGGCGUGCGAACUGAUCCCAAGUCAAGGUUGGAGAACCUGCUGUCCUGCCGAGAAGAUAGGGAUGUCACCAUCUACGGGUCCUGCCCUCUAGCUGAAAGGUGGUAAAGUUCACCCCGUGGGACUCCAGUAUCCUCAUGUUGUGCAGUCUAUCCCUGCAAUGAUCAAUAAAGUCCUGGGGGUCCUCAUGUCACUCAUCUCCAAAGACAGGAGGAUGUAGCCUGGUCCAUCUAUCCAAUAGCUUUUGCGACUCGCCGCCCGCAGUCGGUCUGGGCUCAGGUAUAGCUGCUGCAACUAGCUGAGCUCCGCCCACAGGUAGUGUGCCCAGGGUUUGAUAUACGAUAACUGCAUGCUUUGGAGCCUGAGCGGUAGGGAUCUAUGCUCCCCAUCCCGCCUAAGAUAUGGUUGGGUCUGCUAGAAAUAAACCAGCUUGAGUCAUAGAAUCCAUGAACCGCAACUUACGGCCCAUCGCCUCCUGGAAUCCUGGUUCAGACAUGAAGUCCACUGGGGCUGGCUCCGCUACAGGCACCUCGCCCUGCUCCUUAAUAGCAGGAUCCUCCACUGGAUCCACUGGUGGCACAACUGGAGCAACUCUAGGACGUCCUCGUCCUCUACCACGAGCUGGGGCCUUUCCUUUGCCUCUGCCUCGGCCUCUAGCAACAGGGACAACUGCUCCUUCAUGGUUGGGUACAUCUGCCGUGCGCGUUCUCUCCAUCUGUGAGAGAAUAAGAGAAAGACACUUAGCACAACAUCAACUGCAUGAUAGGAUAUGAAGAAAGUGUUGUUUCCUAACACCCUAUAGCCUCUCGAAGAUAAGUACGGACAUCUCCGCACUGAUCCGCAAGACUCUAUUAGGCCUGUUCAUAACUUGUGAGACCUACAUGAACCUAAUGCUCUCAAUACCUCACAACAUAAAUUCAUGUUCCUGACACAUUCCACAUGUCCAAACCAAGCACCAAAAUGAAAACCGGGUGCCUACGCUCGUAGUGACACGACCCAAUUUCCCUUAUAGGUCGUGAUGACGCCCAACGUAGUCGCUAGGAAAGCCAACGGUGAAUUAGUCUUGUAUUUAUUCUUUUUAUAAAUUUCAAAGUGGUUGAUUUUUAUUUAUUAAAUAAGUGAGAAGUGGAAAAUUUAAUAAAGUAAAGCAAAAACUAAUGAAAGAGCAAAUGCAGUGAAAUAAAUGCUCAAAAGCCAUAAAGUCUACUAGCAAGUUUCCAAGACCUAGUGUUACAAGUGUAUGAGCAACUAGUAGAAUAUACAAAUCACUAAGCUACUGUCUGAAAUAGAGUAGACAGAAAGUAAAUACAAAAGAGACACUCCGGGUGCUGCAGAACGGAAUCAGAAAGCAGCUCACCACUAAGCCUCGGGGUAACGAGGGUGCGUGCCUGAAUGGACACCAGAUGCACCUGCCUCAGAUCCUGCACGAUUAGUGCAGAAGUGUAGUAUGAGUACAUAAACAACAUGUAACCAGUAAGUAUCCAGUCUAACCUCGAAGAAGUAGUGACGAGAGGUCGACAUCGACACUUACUAUGGGCCAAUAAUAAAAUAUAGAAAUGCAAAAUAGGCAUGGAAUAUUUGAAUAAUAAAAAUAACUCAAUAGCAUGCAGUGAAUAAAUGAUUUUUUAACUGAUAGUAAAUUCCAAAAUGCCCAUCUAACACAUACUAGUUCCAAAUCAACUUCGGUCAUUAAGUAAAUUAUAACCUCUCAAGCCAUAACAUAAUGUCAAGUGUAAUCGGGCUCUGAGUAUUAUCACACAUGAUUUAUGCAGAGGUCGUCCGACCUGAUCCAAAAUACUGUGUGCACUGCCGAGGGUCGAAUGACACGAACCAUAGAUGCAUCUAUUAUAUUGCUGAGGCGAAUGGCCCGCUCCCAUGAGAGUAGAGAAGUUUAACUCGCUCGCAGAAGUACUUGCGACACGAGAGGACAUGAAUUUCUCAGAGUUAUUAUGUAUUCCUCAAUUCUUUCCAAAAAUAAGAAAUCUAAAUUAGAAGUUUUCAACUUUAAAAUCUUUAGUCUCAACUCUAUUUAAGAUAAUUAAUAUGCAUGACAAGCAUGACCAUAGAAUUAAAGCAUGAUGUGAAUCUAAGACUAUCCGGACAUCUAAUGGAAUAUAGCUGCACACGGACUCUUGUCACCUAGUGCGUACGUAGUUCCCCACAUAAGUAAUACACAAUAAAAAUGCACCUAAGGGGAUGAGUUCCCUCUUACAAGGUUAGGCAAGAGACUGACCUCGUUCCCAAGCUCAUUUCCGGUCCACUAAUCCGCUCUAAAAGCUCUAAGUCGAUGCCGAACAAUCCAAAACUAGUCAAAUAUUACAUAAUUUAAUCAAUAUAUACUCAAAACUUCAUAAUUUAGCUAUUAGAGUAGUUACCCAACCCAAAUUGGAAGAUUCCUAAAAUUCGCCCCCGGGCCCAGGUGCCUGGAUUCCUGAAAUUUUCGAAGAUAAAUAUUAUCCAUAGCCUCACGAACUCAAAUAUAUAAUUUUUAUUUAAUUCCAAAACCAAAUUUCGUGGUCAAAUCCCAUUUCUACCAAAACCCUAGGUUCUUCACAAAUCUCACAAGUUUUCACAAUCUUCCCAUUUUAAUCUACCUAAAACCUGCAUAAUUAACUUGAAAAUAAGUGGGAAUUACUUACCUUAGGAUAUUGAUGAGAAUCUCCCCUCAAAUGUUCUCUUAAAAUUUCCUAAGACCAAAUGAAAUGUGAGGGAAAAUGGCCUAAGACUCGCAUUAAAAACCGUCACUGCCCAGCGACUCCCGCACCUGCAGCCACUUGAUCGCAUAUGUGGAAUCACAAGUGCGGUAAAAAAGGUCGCACCUGCGAUCCCCCACUGCGUCCAGCUUCCUUGCUUCUGCGGACGGGGAGGCACUUCUGUGGGACCGCUUCUGCGGACUCCCUUUGCUUCUGCAGUUGCCUACUGCUUCUGCGACCCAUAACCGACCAACCCAAGUCUGCAUCUGCGGAGCCUCGAUUGCUUCUGCGAGUGCACAGAUAUGGAACAACCCUCGCACCUACGACCACCCAACUCCAGCCUCAGGCCCGCUUCUACGGCCACUUGGCCGCUUCUGCGAGGUCGCACCUAUGGCCAAACUCUCACAGGUGCGAACGCACCAGAACUAAAGGACCAACAAUUCCCCCAAGCCAAUUGCGAGUCCGAUUCCAAUCCGUUUCACACCUGGGCCCCCCCAGGACCCCAUCCAAUCAUACUCUCACCUCCACCAACAUGAUAUGGACCCACUCGCACGAUCGAAACAUUAAAAUAAUAUCAAUAAUUACGAAUCGAACACCAAAAUGCAUGAAUUCAACAUGAAACUCAAAACAUCUAAAAACACUUCUGCGUGUCCGAUUCCUAUCAAAUCAACUCGGAAUGACGCCAAAUUAUGCGUGCAAGUCAUAAAUCACCAUACAGAACUACUCCCAGGCUCGAAAUCCCAAACAAACCUCAAAAACACGAAAACCUACUCUAAACCAAACUUAAAGAACUUGAAAACCUUCAAUGGGCCAACUUCUAAUAUUAAGCGCCGAAAUGCUCCCGGGUCAUCCGAAACCAAUCCGAAUAUACGUCCAAGUCCAAAAUUAUACAAACCUAUUGGGACCGUCAAAUCUCGGUUCCGAGGUCGUUUACUCAAAAUGUUGACUCAAGUCAAACUUCACCAUUUUAAGCCAAUAUUAAGGAACUAAGUGUUUCGAUUUCAGCCCGAACCCUUCCAAAACCGAACUAACCAUCUCUGCAAGUCAUAAAAUAGUAAAAACACAUAUGAUGAGUCUUAAUUAGGGGGACAGGGAUCUAGAAAGCCAAACGACCAGUCGGGUCAUUACACGUAGGGCCCAAAGUAAUAUGAGUAAUCACCUGACCCUGGAGGGACGGAUCCUCAAAGCGUUGUUCAUUUAACAAUUAAUGAUCGAUAACCAAUAUAUCAAUUUCUGCUCAUGGUGUAUGUAAUGCCAAAAUCCUCAACUUUUCACAACAACCAAAUCUCAACACAUGCAUAUGUGUAUGAACCAAUAUAAUAAAGAAGCAUUGGACAUAACAAUAAGAAUGUAAAAGCUCAUAUAGCUAAAAGACGACGAUCAUGCAAUUUAAUUUAUCACAACAGAUCAAUAAUCUAUUUAAGCAUGCACAAAUCUAAUCAUAUUAUCUAACAUGAGUCAAUUAAGCCAUAUAACCACCAAAUCAUGGAGAAAAUAAGAUAAAUGUAAGACUAUGGAUUAAUAAUAAAUCUCAACAUGGAAAAAUAAUCCUUUAUAUCUGAUUCAACAAGUCAUAAACUUAAGAAUGCUCCUAAAUCAUAAUUAUGAAUCAUCACAUAGUAUUAGAAUCAAUUUGAAACAUAGAUAAUAACUUCACAUAAUCCAAACAGGGCAUAACUCAAGUUAGCACUACUAGAUAUGGUCAUGACCUAGAUAUGCAUAUACACACUUCACCUCGAAUAUACGUGGCUCCUAAAUCAAUCACAAGUAGCAAAUAGAUCACCUAUGUGGAGAAUUCUCUUUUACAAGGAUAAACAAGAGACUUACCUUCAUUUGGUAAGCUUCAACUUUCUAAAAUAUCUUUCCCUCACAAAUCAACCUCCAAACGACUCGAAUCUAGUCAAAUACAACUUAAUAACGUCAAACAAAGCCAUAAGAAUCCAUUCCAAAUAGUAAAUCUUCUUAAUCAAAUUUCCAAGAGUCAACAAAAGUCAACUUAGGCUCACAUGGUCAAAACCCAAGUCAAGGGAUAGAUCCUGACUACCCAUAACCUCAUGAGUCUAAAUAUGUGAUUAGAUUUCAAAAUCGAGUUCAAAUCGGUACUCAAAUCCCUAAAUUACACUCUCUUAAAUUGUAGACAAAUACCUCAAAUUUUCUUUUGAAUUUCAUAAUAAGUGUAUAAAUUCAUGGGAAAACAAGAUAUAUGAUCAAAAUCAAUUAUAAAUCACUUACUCUCAAAGAGGUAGGGAAAAUCCCUUCCAAAAUCGCCUAUUGCCGAGCCCAAAAUAGUGAAAUAUGAGCUAACCCUUGAUAAAUGACCAAAAGUUCUUGAUUUUGACGGUGUUUUAUUGCAUUUGUCGUGUGAGUUAAGGAGAUUACAUGAUUUUUGAAGUGAAAUAUACUCAUUACGUGUUUUUUGUGUGCAGGAGUGAGUUCAGAUGAUAAUGGAUCACAAGAUAUUAAAUUGUUGCAAAAAAGAAAAAAAUGGACGGAUUGGGAGCUCAUCUAUUCUCGUGCGUGGCACGAAAAUGGAUGCAAAAAAGGAGAAAUCUGAAGGCGCAAAAUUGUAAAGUGAAUCAAAGGCACGUGUUGCUUCGUGAAAUGGAAGAAUUUCAUAAGCUGAAUCCGCGUCCAAGGGCGCACGACACGCGAGCGUAGAUGCGGAUUCCAGCUUUCCAUCCGAGUUUGGGUUGAUUGGUUCUGCCCCAUAUCAACCCUAAGUGAUAUAAAUACAUCAAAUAACAACAUUUUAAGGGUUACACAACAUCUUUGAAGGCAAGAACAAGCAAGGAGCAAGGCGGAAGAUUCAGAAAUGAGUUUUUAUCUUUCUUCUUUCUUUUUAUAUUAUUUGUUAUGAAUUCUAAUAUUGUAGCUGUGAAAACAAUUAUGAGUAGCUAAACUCUUUUAUCUAGGGUUUGAUGGAACCUCUUGGAGGAUGAAUUUUCGUUGAGUUUAAUAUAAGUUUGCCAUUGAAUUUUCUAUACUUGUUCAACUACGUAAUUAUUGUUGUUAAUUGAAGGACCCUCAAUUGACUAUACCUAUUUAGUAUGUAUUGCUUGGAAAAGGGUACAUAUUUUCACACCCUGAUCUCGGGGAGCGCGACCGGCGCUCAACCGAGAUAACCCGAUCAAGCAAGCCUUCUAGAAGCUUUUUACCCGACCUUACCCAUGAAUAGAGUGAAGACGUAUUCCAUUACUUAAACCAUGAGAGGAUUUCAUGAACAACACCAAUUCCAUUAUCAUUAGCUAAUACAUUUACAAUUCCCGAAAAUACAUUACACUUUCAUAGUUUGAAGUGGAACAUGUGAUACAAAUACAACAUUUCUAGUUUGACUUUUCAAGAUCAAUAUACAACCCACACCAUAUCUAAGGAGCCUCUAUUGGAUAUUUUGGUAGCUUGAACCUUUCCGAUAGUUGAUCCUAUAUUAGAGGACUAGAGAUGAGAUAAACUUAUAUUUUAAAUAAAUAUGCUCAUGAUAUGUGCCAAAAUCUGAAACAUCCACCUGAAGUGGGGAGGGAAAGGUCGCGGUAAGGCUACUUAACUUCAACCAUACACGAGUGAAACCAUGUAGCUAGGACAUCUUAAUUUUAGGAUUAAAUCAUGCAUUGGUUAGAGAGGUUCUAAUGGUUAUUAUGAUGCUCCAGGGAGAAAGGCAAAUAAAACUCCUAUCCACCCAGGGAUGUGGAAUAUUAAGGAUAGUAAACUCUCCGCACAUGACAAUGGUAGAGUAAAUGAUUCGAGAAGCUGAGUGUUUAAAGAUAAUGGAACCUAAUGAGGCACUAUAGAAUAAUCAUGGGAGGUUUGCUAAUGUUCAUAAUGAGUUCACCAUAGGUCUUGUGACUUUAAAAGUACCUAGAGGCUAAUGAAGGAUGGGAAAACAUGAGAAGCAGACAUGAUGCUAUGAUAACCCCAAAAGUGCAUUCGGUCUUGACGGAGAGCCUAUUAUGGAUCCUUAUGAGAAAGGAAGUGUUACAACGACAUAUGGAAGGACGCGAUCUUUCAUGAUUAUCCAACAAGUGUCGAAAACUAGCACAAUGAAUUCACUAACUAAGGAAUACAGUCAGAACAUGUUGUAGAAGUGUAAAGAGAGAGUGGACACUUGUUAUGAGCUGGACAUGUUUUUUCUAUAAUAAAUCUCAAACUGCAAUACCAGGCCACGUCAUGGGCAACUACAAUACUAGGAACAAAGUGAGCUACUUACUACAGAAUGAUCUAAGUGGUCAUGAAAGUUAUAUUGAUAUGGGCAAGCGAAAGAUCUUCCUAUGACGAAUUUGUGAGAAUCUCAAAUUUUAGAGGAACCUUAUGUGGACAAUUGAUUUGUUGGUUGACACACAUAUAUGAUAGUUGCUGAGAUGUGCUCUUAUGUUAUCGGACAGUAAAAAUGAUUCAUGAUAAUGUUCACAAAGGGAGUAAAAUGACUGUUCAAACCACAUGAGCCACAUACACAGGAAAGGGAGAGAGAGUGUGGCUUAAGAAAGAUCUCACGCUAGGCUGCUUUACAUUAGAUUUGAUUCCAUGUAGGUAAAUGUUAUGAUGGUGCCUGCACAAGUGAGAAAAUGUUACCCAUUUGAAUCGGAAGGUUAUACAAGAAAUUUAUUAGGUAUAGUCCCUGGUUGAGAAUUUAUGGAAGCAAGCGGGAAGUAUUAACCUAGGGUUAUGACUCAAUUUGAGGAAAUCAUUAUAGAGCUCAGUUCCUCAAGAGAUUGUAAGUAAGAGAAUUGUGAUAAAGAGGCUUCACGAAUAAUGCAUCUCGUUCAAAGAGUAGAUACAUGCAACGUUUUGUGAUUCAGUGACUUGCUAAGACCAUAUUUAUGUUGGCUCUUCAAUGCAGAUGUACGUAUACAACAAGGAAAGGUAUGUGGUGUUCAUAAUGAUGUAGCAAGGAGUGACUUACUUGGUGACUUUAGGUUGAUGGGGCAAUGCCUUAACUGAUGCCCUUUGACUCCAGAUCCAUAACAUAUAUUGGUACCAUAGUGACAUAACCCCAAAUGACAUGUCCUACACUUCUCGCAACGAGGAUGAGGUCUAGUAAACUGACUCACCUUACUGACCUGAUUUUUACCCUUUUUGCAUACCACAUAAGCAUCCCCCCUAUCCUUUCUCCAGGCCCCCAUGGUAGGAUUAACAAUCUCUGUACCGGCUUGCUGUGUGGGCCUUUGGAAUUGCCCAAGCCUGCUACCCCUAACACGUUCCUGAGCAUACUCACAACACAAUGCCAAAUGUUCUUUCCCGCAUAUCGGGCAUACCGGGAUGAGUGUAACCAACCUAGGGCAUUUGUUAUUCUUGCGCCCCCUCUUUCUACAACCAAAACAUAUUUCAGGAGUCAUCGAACACGUCCCCAAGUGGUGCUUCUUACAAAUCAAACAAUCUGGCUUAUUGGUACCAACAACCCUCUUUCGUUGGUGCGGUGACAUUAAUAAGAACAAGGACACUUACCCUAGCAACUAGUUCUUCUAACCCAUUCACAGCCAGACCCAUUCUCCCAAUGAACUCUUGUGUAAUCUCCCCCCAGAUUCAAUGGCGGGGUCAUUCCCUCCUCAGGAAAGGAGACAUGAUGAGGAAAUUAGCUUCCUAUCUUGUGCUCUAUCGCAUGAUCUGGGGUAUCAAAGAAGGGUAACAUUCCUAAAUGUCCAAGUAACCUCUAAAUUAUAGAUGUGGUCGACAACACACCGAUAAGAAAGACUCUACUAGACACGGCUCCGAGACAUCCUAAAACACUUUAAAACCUUAGGCUCUGAUACCAAGUUUGUCACGCCCCGACCUGGGGGAGCGUGACCGGCGCUCAACCGAGAUAACCCUGCCAAGCAAGCCUUCUAAAAGCUUUCUACCUGACCUUACCCAUGAAUAGAGUGAAGAUGUAUUCCAUUAAUUAAACAAUGAGAGGAUUUCAUGAACAACACCAAUUCCAUUAUCAUUAGCUACUACAUUUACAAUUCCCGAAAAUACAUUACACUUUCAUAGUUUGAAGUAGAACAUGUGAUACAAAUACAACAUUUCUAGUUUGACUUUCCAAGACCAAGAUACAAGACACACCAUGUCUAAGGAGCGUCUAAUGGAUACAAAAGAGUAAUAUGAUAGUGCCGGAAAUAAGGCCCCGACUAUACCUCAAAACACUAUACAUAAGGAACAAAAAUACAAGACCCUAGAACGAAGUGGGGCUUACCAAGUCAGCUGAGGAGAGGGUGUACCUAUAGCACUGAGCGAUGCCGUCUGCUGUGGACCCACCUGCAUGCAUUAAAAAAGCAGCGCCCCCAACAAAAUGGACAUUAGUACAUAUGGAAUAGUACUAGUAUGUAAGGGUAAACACCCUCUCAAAGAAUCGAGUAACAGUACAAGGAGGGACAACAUAGAAUUAAUGAAAGCCUUAAGCAAUAUAAAAGCAUCAAGUUAGAAGAAAGAUACGUUUUCAAGGAAAUUUCAAUAUUAUAGGUUGGGAGAUCUUUAGCACCAAUAUACCACCGUUGUUUUAGCACGUAGUCCGAGCACGGCCCGAUCGGCUAAACCAUCUCACCCAAAGACAUCCAAUCAUAAUACCACCGUACUUUUAGCACAGAGUUCGAUCUCAGACCGAUCGACUAAGCCGUCUCACCCCAAGACAUCUUACCACAACACCACCAUGUGCGCAGCAUGGCAUCCGAUCUCGACCCGAUCGGCUACAUCAUCUCCCCACAUAUGCCAUGUGAGUCGACAUCUAAUCCAAGGUUAGCAAAAAUCUCAUCCCAAUCAAGGGGAAAAAAUCAACAUAUCAAUCUCAUCCCAUUUAAGGGAACCAAUCUCAACAUAUCAGUACGGGGAUUUACCCCUCAAUCACACCUACACCGGCACAUGUAGUUUCGGGGUUAGGUUGUUUCAACCUACCCUUCUUCGGUGACUAAUGAUACUCCCAAAAAUAUUUUUGUUUUGCACAUAAAGAAAACAGAAAUACAAAUACAUUCACCUCAUAACCUUUCACACCAUAUAUAACUUCAUUAGUACUUUCAACCACUCACAACAAUAUUAUUUCACUGGCUCUCUUGGACACACAUAUGAUUCUUCAUUCAUGGCACGAUGGCCGCAUCUCAUAUUCCACUCUUUCAUUUCUUUACUUUCAAGGUUCAUCAUCAUAAACAUCAACAUAUAGAAUAUUAUGGAAAUCAUAACUCNNNNNNNNNNNNNNNNNNNNNNNNAUACACAAUUUCAACUCAUGAAUAUGUAAGAACUCAAAACACAUUAGAAAUUCUUACAAAGCAUAGCAUGGUGAUUUAAAAUUGAAACAGGGGUUCAAAUCACAGGAAUUAGUUAAAACAACAACAUUUGAACAUGACUUGAGUACAUAAGCUUUUAGACAAAUCUAUCUUCAGAGUCGAUUUGGAACAGUUGAAUCAAGGCUCAUUUUCAUAAUCUUUCACACAUCAUUUCAUUUCAUUGGCACUAUUGGCCACAAGUAUAACUUUUAUUCUUGGCACGGUGGCCGCACUUUAUAUUUCCAACUCACUUCUUUCACUUUCAAGCAUCAUUAUAGAUUUUCAACAACAAGAGCAUUCGAAAUCAAGGCCUUGAGUAUAUAUAUGAGCAAUAUGAGUCUUAGGCGCAUUGAGUUUUCUUUCCAAGUUAAGCAUAAUAGACUUUCAUUUAGACCCGAAUUGAAGUCAUAACAUUUUAAUACAUAAACCAUACUUGAACAUAUUCUAGAAGAGAUCAUAAUAAGAUAGGAGCAAUUGGUACACGUUUUGAGUAUAUGCAUCUUUCAACACAACGCUUACUUGGAAUAAUCGAAUUUAUUAGGAACAACUCGGAACAUGGGAAUUAGGAAUCUGGGCUGACCAUACUUGAAACUUACAGGAACAUCAUGGAAUUUGAGUCUAAGAGAGAGGUUUAGCCAACAUACCUUGCUUGAGCUUUCCUUAGGUUAGUACAACAUCCCAAUACUCUUAGAAAAUUCAAUCUAUAGGAAAAUGGGGAAAAGUUGAAUAUUAAUUGGAAGGAUUCUCAUGAUAUAACUCUCUUGGGAAUUUCGUCAAACACUUACUAUGCAAAAUCGACUACAAAGCUCUACAAUGGUUAUCCCUUCGUCCCUCGACCAAUUUCAAUAAUAAACUACCCGAAAUAGUUCAACAACCCCACAUACUACCUCUUAUUAGCACACGGAUGGCCUAACUCCAACCCCACAACAUACUUAAACCCAUAACAUCUUGUAUGAAAACUUAGGAGAAGGACUUACCCGGAUAGGUGAUGGUUUAGUGAAUGGCUUCCUUGAUUCUUGAAGAUUGGGGAAAGAAUGGAUGAGUAAAAUUGCUAGGUCUUCUCCCUCUCUCUCUAAGAUACUCUCACUUCUCUCUAAAAAUAUCAGAUUUUUGCCUUCAAAAUGAGCCACAAAGGCUUUUCAUCAAAAUGGGGUCGGGUUAUAAAAAUAAAAAAUGGACCAUCUGAACUCAACUCUGUAGGCGCAGAGUGGACCGCAUAACAGAUAUCCGGCUCGCAUAAGGGGCCGCAAAAUUAACUUCAAAAACUGGGCUGGCCUGGACAAGUCUGCGGCCAGGUCUGCGGUCCGCAGACCAGUUAUGCGACCGCGAAAUGGACUGUAGAAUCACCCUAAAAAAUUAUUCAUGCCAAAUAUGUGAUGGAAGUGCAGACCGUGAAACAGAUGUGCGAUCCAUACUAUACCGCAAAACAACCUUAAAAAUUAAAAUAUUUUUCUCCUCAACUCCGCAAUGAUUAUGCGCCCCGCAAAAUGGUUUUGCGGUCGUGAAAUUGACCGCAUAUUUGCCUUCUUCUGCGAAAAAUUUCCAUCAACUCCUCAUUGCAUUCUUCAACCCAAAAAGUUCAUACCGCAGCGAUCAAGCUUAUCGCGAUGAUUAACUACUACCUUCGAACACAUUAGCCUAUCUCGGCACUACAAAACUCGAAUUUCUUGGCAAAACAUUUACGGGGCCUUACACAUAUUUAGGUAAUUAUUGAACAAAAUCACUCCUAACGUAUUUGAUGAAUCAAUACGAAGGGUUUAUAGAAAGGAUUAGGAAUAACGAAACCUUGAUAUGAUCUUAGUGAGUAGUAAUUUAGUGCCAGCUAGCGUAGUUCGGGAGAAUACGUCUAGUAAAUUAUUGUAGUUUCUCGGAAGAGAAUUACGACAUAUAAAGUGCUCAUGAUUGGUAAAAAAUACUUAGGCUAAUUUAUAGGAGGCGUAGCGGGGAAGACUCCGACAAUAGGGAAAAUGAUAAGUCUAGACUUUUCCAAUCUUGUCUACAUCCUUCGUUUUAGUAGUAAUAAAGUUACAACCUUUUAAUUACUUGACUUUUAGUUAGAAAACAAUUUUCUAGAAGUUGAUUACUUCAAGUAUUGAGAAACUAGUAGUUAUGAUUAGUAGGAUGAUUCCAUGUAGGAUUCGACUCUGGACUUGUAAAUCGAAUUAUAUUUAGGACAACCACUAGACCUUUUAGGAGGCAUAGUUAGGCGCGCUCAAAUUUUAGCGCCAUCGUCAGGGAAUUUAACAGUGUUAUUAAUUAUAGUGAGAAGAAUGGCUAAGAUUCUUAGUUUAGUCAACUUUCUUGAUUUUAAUUUCAUUACAUUGAAAUUCUGAAAUUUGUUGUCUUGUGUGAUACAGGUGCAUGCCUAGAAACUCCUCGAGAACUGGUGAAUUGUUUGAAGCAUUACCGGACCCUGAGAAAGCUUUCAAGGCAUUAAAUCGUACAAACAAGAAAGACGAAUGACAACAGAACCCAACAAAACAAAUUGAUUUAGACAUAGGUGACGUCAUAGACAAUCAAAACAACAAAAACAAUGGGAACGACCCAAACAAUCAGGGUAUGGCACCUCUUGUGCCAGAAGCAGCCAUUUAUGAUUGGGCAUAACCACCACUAAAAAUAUAGCAACCGCAAUUGCAGUCCCUCAGAUACAAGCAGAAUCAUUUCAAAUCACGAAUAACAUGCUACAUCUACCACAUAACAAGAGACUAUUCUACGGGUCUCACAUUAAAGAUCCAUAACAACACCUAAAAAAUUUUCUGUUAAUUUGUGUCACUUAAAGGCAACUGAAUGUGACACUGGAAGCAAUCAGAUUGUUAUUGUUUCUAUUCUCAGUGACUGGAGAUGCUCAAACUUGGCUUCAUUCGCUCCCCAUAAACUCCAUCACUACCUGGAAGGAAUUAGUCAAGUAGUUUUUGAAAAUCUUCUAUCCACCUAAUAAGACUACAAAGCAUGUUGAUGAAUAUUGAGCUUCAGGUAGAAACCAACUAAAAUACUGCAAGAAAUGUGAGAGACGUUCAAAGUGAUGUUGGUUAAGUUCCCACACCAUGGCAUUCCAGAUCAGAUGUUGGGACAGAGGUUUUACAUGGGGCUAGCAGAUAUCUUGAAGGCUAACAUUGAUGCUUUAGCAAGUGGAGUAUGUUUUAGCAAAUCACUUAGAGAGUGUAAGGUCCUACUCGAUAAAAUGGCUCAAAACUCAGGAUGGAUGACAAGAGACAUUGUACUCACCCCUAUCAUUCACUCAGUAGCUCUGGACUUGAACAACUCUAUCUCCGAGAAUAUGGCCACUCUGAUGACUCAUAUGAGUAUCCUCACCAAGAAGACUAAUGAAUCAGUCCAAAAGCAGGUACACAUAGUUGAUACGACUAAUGGAGGAUUAUGCACACCAUGCAUUAAGCAACCAUAUGUGUGUUCAUAGAGCGGUGAAAGUGACAUCCAUAACUACCAUGAAAAUAUGAACUAUGUGAGCAACUUUGGGGGACAAAGACAAGGUGGACAGAGUGGGGGACAACAAAAUUAGCUGUAUAGGCUAGCACAAUAGUAGUACAACAAUAAUACUAAUCCUGGAGCAAUGAGACCACAAGGUCAAGUUCUGCCUUUGAUGUUCAGCCUUAUCAAACGCAAUAGGGAUACAAUCAGCAGAAUGAACAACUAGCUUAUCAACAACCUCAACAACAACAUAUAGCAAGACAAGAUGACAGGUUGUUUAAAAUUAAAGGAAUGCUACAACAACUCAUUGGGUCCAACAUGAAGAUGGAAGAAAGGGUCCAUCAGAUGCAAGAAAGGUAGUAUCACAUGACUUAGCUAUCAAGGGGAUUGAAAUUCAAUUGGGGAAAAUCUUUAUGGCUUUGAAUAAUAGUCCUUAGGGGACAUUGCCUGCAGAUACAAACAUCAACCCAAAGGAGCCAUGCCCAAAACAGCUGAUGAUCGUAAGUUUGAGGAAUGGUAGAGAUCUUAAUCUAGGGUAAGAAAUUGCUCGAGAAAGCCGACCAACUGCAACACUUGUGCUGGUACCACUUGAGGUAGAUGGAUCAACUGAUUUAACUAAGGUUACAGUACAAUAGGUGCAAUAGGAACCAAGAAAUGAAAAGGAGGUUACAAAGGAAAAAGUACUUGAGCAGGAAUCGUCUCAAGAUACAGGAAAGAAGCGACCUCCAGCACCCUUCUCGCAGAAGUUGGCUAAAUAUCAGAAGGAUGAGCAGUACAAAAAAUUCACGGAGAUGUUGAAGCAAAUUUAGGUGAACAUUCCACUAAUAAAUGCCUUGCGAGAGAUGCCAGGUUACGCAAAAAUGAUGAAAGACUUGAUGUGUCACAAGUUCGACUUUCAAGACCUAGCUACUUUGACAAUGAAUCAGACUUGUAGUGCUGUUGUUACAAGACCUGUAGCUGAGAAACUAUCCGAUCCUGGAAGUUUUACAAUUCCAUGCACCAUAGGUAGCUAUGCUUUUGACAAAACAUUAUGUGAUUUGGGGGCGAGCGUAAAUCUGAUGCCCUUGUCUAUCUAUAAAAAGUUAGGCAUUGGAAGAGCAUGGUCCACAUCUAUAUUACUACAGCUAGCUGAUCUAAUAGUGAAGAGAACAUCAGGUAUACUUGAUGAUGUACUUGUGCAGGUUGGGAGAUUUGUGUUCCCUGCAGAUUUUGUGAUUCUGGACAGUCAGGUUGAAGAGGAGAUUCCCAUAAUUUUGGGAAGGCCGUUCUUGACCACAGGGAGAGCUCUGAUUGAUUGUGAAACUAGGGAGCUAAAGAUGAGACUGAAUAAUGAAAAAAUAACAUUUAAUGUGCAAACGUCCAUGAGGUGACCCAAUGAGUUUGCUAAUUGAUCUCUAAUUGAAGCAGUGAUGUGAUAACGGAGGAGGAAGAUGAGACACUUCAUGCAAAAGACCCUCUAGCAGUCUGCCUCAUGAACUUAGAAGAGGUUGAUGGUGAGGACUUGUCGGAGUGGGUUUUGGAUCUUUAAAGCCAAGGGUACUGGAAAAGAGAGCUCUAAUUCGAGCAUUUACACUUAGAAGAAAGAAAGACCCCUCCGACUAAACUAUCAAUUGAAGUUCCACAAUAGUUGAAGUUGAAACCACUCCCAACUCACCUCAGGUAUGCUUUCUUGGGACCUAACUCGACUUUACAUGUUACUAUCUCACCUGAGUGAGCCCAGUUCAAUGUAUUCCGAAGAAAGGUGGAAUGACCGUGGUGCAAAACGAGAACAAUGAGCUGAUCUCAACAAGAAUGUUUACGGGAUGGCGAAUCUGUAUGGACUACAGAAGAUUGAACAAGGGCACCCGAAAAGACCAUUUCCCCCUGUGUUCAUCGAUCAGAUGUUAGAUAGGUUGGUAGGGAGGUUCCAUUUUUGCUUCUUGGAUGGAUACUCGGGGUAUAACCAGAUCUCUAUUACCCUAGAGGAUAGAGAGAAAACAUCAUUCACCUAUCCAUAUGACAACUCUGCUUUUCGGAGAAUGUCGUUUGGCCUAUGCAAUGCACCCACCACAUUCCAAAGGUGCAUAAUGGCCAUCUUUACUGAUAUGGUAUAGGAUAUACUGGAGGUCUUCAUGGAUGAUUUCUCAGUGGUGGGGAACUCGUUCAAUGAUUACUUUGUAAAUCUGAGAAGAGUGCUGAAGAGGUGUAUGGAGACUAAUCUGGUGCUAAACUGGGAAAAGUGCCAUUUUAUGGUACGGGAAGGUAAAGUCUUGGGACACCUAGUGUCAAGUAAUGGCAUUGAAGUGAACCGCGCUAAAGUUGAUGUGAUAGAUAAGUUGCCACCGCCCACUUACGUCAGAGAAAUAAGAAGUUUCCUUGGUCAGGAUGGCUUCUAUAGGAGAUUUAUAAAAGAUUUUUCCAAGAUUGCUCACCCUUUGUGUAAACUGCUUUAAAAAGAUCACCCCUUUAUGUUUUGAUGAUUGCAGGGUAGAUUUUGAGGAGUUGAAGAAGAGGCUGGUGACUGCACCAAUCAUAGAUACACCUGACUGGGAGCAACCAUUUGAGCUGAUGUGUGAUGCAAGUGACUAUGUUAUGGGAGCAGUUCUUGGGUAGUGCAAAGAGAAGGUCAUGCACCCAAUCUACUGUGCAAGUAGAACCUUAAGUGGUGUCCAACUAAACUACACAGUGACCGAGAAGGAGAUGCUAGUAGUGGUGUUUGCAUUUGACAAAUUCAGGUCAUACCUGAUAGGCGCUAAGGUAAUUGUUUAUAUUGACCAUGAUGCUCUCAGGUACUUAAUUGAUAAGGAGUCAAAGCCACGCAUAAUUUUAUGGGUGCUUCUACUACAAGAAUUUGACUUGGAAAUCCGUGACCGAUAUGGAACGGAGAACCAAGUGGUUGACCACUUGUCCAUGCUGGAAGGAGCACAGAAGAAAGUUGAGGUAGAAGAUAUCGUGGAGACGAUUAUGGAUGAACAACUAUUGUCCACAAGCCUUGAGGUAGCGCCAUGGUAUGCAAACACUGCAAACUACCUGGCGAGCGGUAUUGUUCCCUGUGACCUUUCCUCUGUACAAAAGAAUAAGUUCUUUUGUGAUUGUCACAUGUAGUAUUGGGAAGAGCCUUAUUUGUUCAGGAUUUGUAUUGAUAGCAUGAUCCGAAGAUGUAUCUCCGAGACAGACCAAUCUUCUAUUUUACAGGCUUGUCACGCGUCCCCGUAUGGUGGCCAUUUUGGAGGAGUAAGGACAAUUGUAAAAGUGUUGGAGUCGGGCUUCUACUGGCCGACAUUGUUAAAAGAUGCACACUUCUGGGUGAAGGGUUGUGAUGAAUGCCAACGGACCGGGAAUAUUUUCCGUCGACAUGAGAUGCCUAUGAAAGCAAUUCAGGAGGUGUAGGUGUUUGAUGUAUGUGGAAUCGAUUUUAUGGGACCUUUUGUCAGCUCAUAUAGCAACAAAUAUAUACCUGUAGUGGUGGAUUAUGUUUCAAAAUGGGUGGAAGCUGUGGCACUCCCUAAAAAUGAUGUAAAGGGGUCAUUGGUGUUUUGAGAAAGAACAUUUUCACCCGAUUUGGCACUCCAAGGGCAACAAUCAGUGAUGAAGGCACUCACUUUUGCAACCGAGCCUUCACAAAGUUGUUAGAGAAAUGUGGUGUUCGCCACAAGUUUGCCAUUCCAUAUCACCCACAAACGAAUGGACAAGUGGAGGUUUCAAACAUAGAAAUAAAGAGUGUUUUGACAAAGACUAUGAAUGCUACAAGAACGGAUUGGGCACAAAAAUUAGAUGAUGCAUUCUGGGACUAUCACACUACUUUCUAGACUCCAAUUGGCAUGUCUCCGUAUAAACUGGUAUUUGGGAAGGCAUGUCACUUACCCGUGAAGUUGGAGCAUAGAACUUUGAGGGUAUUGAGGCAACUGAAUCUUGAUAUGAAAGUUGCGGGUACAAAUAGAGUCACAGAGUUGCACGAGAUUGAUGAGUUUCAUUACCACACUUUUGAGAGCACAAGGCUAUACAAGGAGAGAAUUAAGAUGAUACAUGACAAAAAUAUUCUUGAGCAACAUUUUAAAUUUGGAGACAUGGUAUUGCUAUACAAUUCGAGAUUGAAGUUGUUUGCGGGCAAGUUGAAGUCAAGAUGGUCAGGACCAUUUCGUGUGGCAGAGAUGCAUCCUACCGGAGCUGUAGAAAUUGCAUUGAAAGAUAGCUCCCGCAAGUUCAAAGUUAAUUGGCAAAUGCUAAAAUAUUAUGAAGGCAUGGGUGAGGACGAUAAAGUGAUCUCAACCAUGUACUUGAAGGAUACUUGAUAAGGGAUAGCCCGAUGCGUGCUGUGACAUUAAAUCAGACACUUCCUGGUAGGCAACCCAUGGUGUUGUUGUAAUUUGUCGUUUCGCGACGUUAAAUCAAGCGCUUAUUGGGAGGCAAUCCAAUUUUUAUGUUUGUCUUUAUUUCUUUAGUUUGAUUUGAAAAGUUUGAAGUGUUGACAUGUUUAUGAGUGAUGCAGGGAUGGAAUUUUGCAAAUCAGAAUGACUUGAGGUGAAGAGAUCGAGAUAAAAGGCAAAAGGGGCUAAAUUUGCAAAGCUGAAAAGAAGCCUAGCUGGGAUCGCGUCUGCGCGCCAUGCGUAAGUUGAUGCGCUAGCUAUGCUGGCCAAUCUUCACGGGCAGUAAAGUCCGCCCGGGGCAUGGAUGACUUUGCGAGUUUUUUAAAAAAAAAAUAUUUUUUCUUUUCCUUUUCCAUUCUCCAGAUUUUUGCCUUAAACCUUUUUUCUCCUUGUUUUUCUUUUAUUUCCCUCUUUCCUCCCGAUCGUUCCCUACCCGAGUACGUGCUCCCUAUCUCCCUUUCACUCAUAGGUUUUCCAAACCCCUCCUCACCAAACUGGUAUGAUUUUCCACCCCCUUCUGCGUGUCUUAUGUUCGUUCCCCACCCCCACGUAAUAGCCCCAGACCACUCUCCCUUAGGUUAGUUUGUGUUUUUCUGUUUCUUUCUUGUUAUGGUUACUUUUGGUAGAGUAAUUGAAUUUCAAAUUGUGGAUCAUAUUUUGCUCCAAAUUUAGUUGAUCGUUGUAUAAUGAGGUGGAAAACUACAAUUCCCACCACCUCAUUCAAAUUGUGAGGGCAAAACACAUACUAAUUGAUUUGAACCAUGAACUCUAAAACUUGGCAUACAAAGUGUUUGACAAACUUCCUAAAUGCAAUUUUUGAUAAGUUUUGUGAAGUCUAAGUAGUAAUCUUAAUUGUAUUGGCAAUAAGAACAUCGCUUGACGGUAGGGUAGUCAUUUGGGGGUCUUUGUACUUAAAUUGCUUUGAUUUUUGAUCGAAUGUCAACCUGCGGCCGACUUAGGCACGACUCGUGCAUCGUCCUCACUACUUGAUUUUCCAUGAUGCUAAGUAGCCUUAUAUCAUUGCAAUAAAAUGUAGUAGUCACUCGUACCUUGUUUGCAUACUUACGCCUUCAGGCUAAGUGUGGAGUGCCAAGUGCACAGCUAUGACUCAAUGUCACACAUUAUACUAAUAUGUAUUUUGUAUCCUUGCAGGUAAUAUGGAUGUCUCUAAAACACCAACUCGAAGCCAUGGAGCAGGUGGUAGUGCUAAGCCAUCCAUAAUGAAACCAUCAACUAAACAUGAUGUGGACGCUAUACUUUGUUCAUACAUUGACUGCUUUACUUGGAAAAUAUAAGUUGACUGAGGAUGAUGAUGAGAUAUGUGGAGGCACAUAGUUGGCAUUCCAUGAUAUAUGCUCUGUUCAGGACCCAUCGACUGUGACUUUACAAAAGAAGGGACAUGGUGAAUCCAUCACUGAUAUGGAAUGAGCGCUACAAUAGUUGCAAGUAGAUUUAAAGGCAUGAGACCGUGCUUUGCUAGUUGCACAGGAGACUAGAGAUCUGUGGAUGCGAGAGCAGUUCGCUGUGAUGCUCAAGGCUAUUCGUGGAUUGAGACAGGUACAUCACAUUGGAGUCCAGAUAGACUUUGAGUAGCCGGGAGAUGCAGAGUUGUCUGUUUUGAGUGCUACUAAGGGCACUGCUACUGAGGAGCCGAAUGUGGCUCGAAAGAAAUGUCAUGACCCCAAAUUUCCAACUUAGGACGUCGUAAUGGCACAUAGUCCCUAAGACUAGGUAAGCCUAACACAUGCUGAGUUAAUAACAAAUUUUAACUAUUUAAUCAUUAAACACCAACUUAUAAAUGGCAUACAUAGCUGAAAAUGACCAAUAGUUAUACAUUUCCGCAAACCGGUAGUACAAAGUCAUAAGAUCUAUUGAAAUAAACUAGAAUCUCUAAGUACAAUAGUGUUUUGAAAUGAAGAUAAACAGUAAUAAAGAUAAUAUCCGAAUGUGACUCCGAGGCCUGCGAAUGUCAAGAAGGUGUACCUUAAAGUCUCCAGCUGUGCGGACACAACUCUCAAAACCAAUACAAUCAGAAGUACCUGGUCUGCACAAAAAUGUACAGAAGCAUAGCAUGAGUACACCACAUCGGUACAUAAUAAGUAUCAAGACUAACAUCGGUGGAGUAGUGACGGGUAAGUCGAGACACUUACUAGACAUAAAACAUGUGUAAGAUAUUAACAUAAAACUAGCAAUGAAAAGAACAUCAACGUAAGGCUAAUAGUGGAAAGAUUAUUAAUAUAAAACCAUCAAUGGAAUAAUAGAAACACAAAUAGCAACCAUAAGUAAACGAGUAAUAAAGCAGCAACAUAAUCAGAACACAAAUAAAGUAUGAAUGAAAUCAAUCAAGGAAACAAGUGACAAUUCAAGUAAUCGAAUUGUCCCCAACGCAUGACUGUCAAUAAGAAUUACCCCGAGGCACCACAAAUCGUAAUCAUAUAUCAUAAGCCACAAUCCCGAAUCUUACACACAUGGCACCUCGUGCCCACAUUAUCAAUCACCUUCGCUCGGCAAAGUCCACGUGCUACCAUAUACAUUAUAUCUGCAUCAAUUGCCAAAUAAAAUGUUCGAUCGAUUUAUUUAAAUAAAAUAAGGUAAAAUGACAAUUUUGAAUUAAGUAAGGCAUCAAAUGAGAUAAUAAAUUUGUUUUAGAAUUCAAAUAAAGUAAAAUAAAGUUCAAUUUAUACAAAGUAGGGUAUCAAAGGGGGAAAUGAGUUUAGUUUAAAAAUCAAUCAAGGUAAGUAAAAUAAUAUUUUUGAAUAAUGUAAAACAUCAGAUAAGUUAACGAAUUAAAUGUAGAAUCAUUUAAAGUAAAGCGUGAUAACAAUUUAAAUAUAGUAAAGCACAGAGUGAGAUGACGAGUUUUAUUUUGAGACACACAUAUAGUAAAGCUUGUUAUCAAUCAAUCAAUUCACCAAGUAACAACGGAGGUACUUAUUGGAACAUUAAGACAACACAACAAAUCAUAUAGAAUGCAUGACCCAUCCAAGAAAUUACAAUCGUUCCAACACAAGAGUAACAAUAAAUAACCAAGUACAAUCAAAAUUACGGAUGGAAUGAGGUGAGGAAAACAAAACAAUAACUGUUCAAAUCAACAAGCCUUUCCACCGUAGAAUGUACAACAAGAAUCACACCGAGGUACCACAUCUCAUAUUCACAUUUCACAAGUCACAAUCAUAAUCUUCCUUAUAUCACCGCGUGAGCCUUGCAUUUAUUUUAAAAAUAUUUUUCCCGAAAUAGCUACACACGUUUUAGCCCCCUUAUCUUACCACUUGGCUUCAAGUAAUUCUCUUACUAGAAACAUGCGUAUAAGUCCCACAUUAUCUCACCGCAUGCGUUUCAAUACCUACCCUUAUACCAUCACAUGCGUAUCAAUAACACAAUAUAAUAAUCAACUCGCACCACACAUGCCCAUAUGCCACAAUAUUGCCAAAAUAACAAUACCAAUAUCACCACAACACAUAGCCCACAACUCAACCACAAUAUGUACAAAAAUCUUAAUAACAACAAAAUGAAGGAGAAAUAACUCAAGAAGGAAAGGUAUUCCAAUAAACAAAAAUUUCAACCACAAACGUGUUAAUAGCUCUUCAACAACCACAACUUCAAUAGAUCAACAAGGAAGAUAUUUUCAUGAAAUAACAACUUCAAAUUCUAAAUGCAUAAUAUAAGCUUAACAAUGAAAGAGAUAGCAUGAAAUAGCAACUACAAUUAAAUGCAUGAUAAUAACUCAACUAUGAAAAGAAUAACAUAUAACAACAACUACUAAUCAAUGCAUACAAGGGAAAACUAGACAAUGGAAACUCGACCAAGUAAUAACAACUUCAAUUAAAAUACGUAAGAAUGAACUUGACAACAAAAGGUAGAACAAUUAAUAACAACUUUAGUUAAAUGCCUAUAAGUAAUCUAAGAGUCUAAAUCCGGUCAAGUUUCACAAAUAAGCCUGUGUAUAUACUCGUCACCUCAUGUACACGUCUUCCACAUAAUUCACAUAGUACAAUUAAACCUAAUCCUACGGGGUAGUUUUUCUCACACAAAAUUAGGCACGAUACUUACCUCAAACAAGCUAAAUCAAUCUAUUAAUAAGCCCUUCCCGUGAAAAUCUACUUUCGUACUGCUCGAAUCUAGCCAAAAUAACUUAAUAUAAUAAAUAAAAGCCAUAGAAAAUAAUUUCGGAUAAUAAAGAUUCGAUCUUUAACUAAAAUAAAAAAGUCAACCCUGGACGCGCACCUUGAAAUUCGACAAAACUCAUAAAUUUCGAACACCCAUUCCGAUACGAGUCCAAUCAUACCAAAAUCAUUCAAUUCCGACCUCAAAUCAGCCUCCAAACAAUCAAUUUGUGUUUUAGAAAGUUUUUACUAAAAUCCUCAAUUUCUCCAAUUCAAAUUAUUAAUCAAACACUAUAAUCGAGGCUGAAAUCAUGAAAUAAUAACAAAUCCUAGUAAAAUAUACUUACCCCAUUCCAAGUAGUAAAAAUUUCCUCCAAAAUCGAGCUCCAAAACCUUGUGAGAAAAAGUAACUAAAUUUCGAAACAAGAAAAAAAAUGCAACAACUAUCCUAGCUCGAAUCAGUUCCUAGAUGAUCUCGGAACCCUCAUUUGAUAAUAUCAACAUGAUCUUUGCGAGAAUACACCCAAGAUAGCCUCUUGAAUUGCCCAAUUCGGCCUUAAAAUGAGGGAGAUAUGAUGUUUUGAAAUUUUAAAAGAAAUCUGAAAAUUUCAGGGACAUAAAUGGCAUUUUCGUAAUUACUUACACUAGGGAAAAAACAAUAAGAAAAUCUUUGUUUUAGCACCCAAAACUCAUUCGGAACCUCCCGGACGCAAACCAUGUAUGCAUUUCAAUCAUAAAACACUCUAAGAACCUACCCGCGCACUCAAAAUACCGAAAAGAGGUCAUCUUGACCCGAUAUUGAUCAUGAUCAAACUUCAAAUUCUUAACUAGUUUCUCAACCAAUGAUCCAAAACACACGCGAGCCCCUUGGGACCCCAUCCAAUCAUACCAAAAAGUACAAAUACAUCAUCCAAAGCCUCAAAACACCCACAGGAACAUCAAAAUAAAGAAUCGAGGCUCAAACCGAAUAUAAUUUCUCUUAAGUUGUAAAAUCUUCAUUCUUUCAAAAGAGUGUCUGAAUCACACUUGAACACUUCGGAUUACUUUUAUUGGCGUAAUCCCGGGUUUUCUUUAAACCAUGAUUCUUUCCGAAGAUGCCAUUUUCUUGAACCGAGUAUUCUUAGGUAGUUUUUUCUCAAGAUUUGUAAAACUUUAUAGACUUUGCCAGAUGAUGGAUUUCCUAGACAAUUUUCUUGAGAGAUUAAAGUCUAAAGAAAAAUAUAAAAAGAUUUUUUUUUCUUUGUUUGUUUUAAUCUGAUAAUGGAAUGGGAAGAGCUUGAGUAUUGUGCUUCAUGAAAUAUUUUAUAUUUGGGCUUAGAGCUGGAGCAUUUGUGCUUAGUAAUGUUCUCGCAAUUCUUUUGAUUAUGUGCCUAGAGAAUAUGUGUGACUUUAUUUAGAUUCUUGGGCUCAUCUUUUGACUCAUAUUAUGUACUUCCCAUAUGGUUUAGUUUUAUGAUGACUGUUCUUAGUUGCUUUAACUUGAGAGUCGGGUCUGAGCCAUAUUGAGUGGAUCAUGUGCAUUGUAUGAGGUGAGAAUUUUGAGUUGUACUAUGUGCCAUCCCGGGCUAGUCUAGAACUUUCCCCGUGUGCGAGUCGAAGCGAAAUGAUUAAGUCUCGUAAGGCUAGGAGAUGAUAUAGGCAUUGUUUUGAUUGACCAUUGAGCCUCUUUUGCCUACCAGUGCUAAUAUUAUCCAUAGUCAACUCUUUUGAGUCUAUAGACCUUUUCUUUGGCACCCAAAUUGCAAGCUGGAUAUCCCUUAUUUUCUUAAUCAAAUCUUGUUCACCAUUUACUUUUGAAAGCACUUAAGUUGCUAGAAGAGUAAAGAGAGAUAUCGAUUAGAUUUUGAGUCGAACCAAAGGAAGGCCGAGAAGGUGCGUUAUGUUUGAAUGCAUUACUAGCCGGAAACACCAAAAUUAAGGAGAUUGUUAAAAUAUAAAAUAAAGUACACCUCUUUUAUAUUGAUCCAGGCUAGUGAGCAUCUAUGUGCUGAUAUCCUUAAAGAAGAAGGGCAUAAUCGCGUAUUGGUUCGUGGCAUGGCAUUGAUUUGGUUGUGAUAAAAAGGUGUUUGAAAGUGAAGUGUAGUAUAUUAAAGUUAUUAGGAGGGUUAUUCAUUAUUUUUCCAAAUAUAUCCUACCCGUCUCUUAUCCUACAUUACAACAUAUAAAGUCCUACUAGAUCCGAGUUUGUGCGAGCUUAAAUUAGUCGAGUCUUACACUACGGGCAAGCCUAUUGUAUGAACUUGGGUGGCAUAUGAGUUAUUUUUGUGAGAGUGAGCGAAUUCUAUCGAUUUGAGAGGCCUUAAAAUAUACUUGAACUUAUAUUUGAGUGUGUGGACUACUUUCUCUCUUUGGUUUGUUGGUGAGGGCACAUAAUUUGCAAAGAUUGGUAAAGUCCUUGAUUUUUGAGUUGGCACAAAAAGUGAGUCUUAGUUUGGAAUGUAUUUGGAGUCAAAAUGUUGAGGCUAGGAUGUUAGAGAGAGUCACACUAUUAUUUUAAUUAGUAUUGGCAUGACGGAAACCUUGAGAAAAAGUAUGAAUUGUGCUUAUGCUAGGUUCUAAUAGUUUAUAUAAACCAUUGUCAUCGGUAUGAUGCUUGAGUAGGUUUGGAAAAUUUGUUUCUUGCCGAUGUGCUUAAGUUUAUUCGCUCGAGGACGAGGAAAUGUCUAUGUGUGGGGUGGUGAUAAGUAACCAAAAGUGCUUGAUUUUGAGGGUAUUUUCAUCUCAUUUGUCAUGUGAGUUGCGGGAGAUUACAUGAUUUUUGAAGUGAAAUAUAUCCAUCACGUGUUUCUUGUAUGUAGGAAUGAGUUCAAAUAAUAAUGGAUCAAAAGAUAUCAAAUUAUUGCAAAAAAAGAAAAAAUAGAAGGAUUGGGAACUCGUCUAUUCUCGUGUGUGGCACAAAAAUGAACGUGAAAAGGGAGAAAACUGAAGGCACAAAAUAGUAAAGCGAAGAAAAGGCAUGGAUCGCUUUGCAAAAUGGAAGAAUUUCAUAAGUUGAACCCGUGUCCAUGGGCGGCGACGUGCGAGCGUAGACGCGAAUUCCAGCUUUUCACAUCCGGGUUUAGAUUGAUUAGUUCCGUCCUAUAUCAACCCUAAGUGAUAUAAAUACAUCAAAGAACAACUUUUUAAGGGUUACACAACAUCUUCGAAGGCAAUAACAAGCAGGGAGCAAGGUGAAAGAUUCAUAAAUGAGUUUUUAUCUUACUUUUUCCUUUAUCUAUUAUUGGUGAUGAAUUCUAAUAUUGUAGUUGUACAAACAAUUAUGAGUAGCUAAACUCUUUUAUGUAGGGUUUGAUGGAACCUCUUGGAGGAUGAACUUUCGUUGCGUUUAAUAUAAGUUUACUAUUGGAUUUUCUCUACUUGUUCAACUACGUGAUUAUUUUUGUUGAUUGAAGGGCCCUCAAUUGACUAUACUUAUUUAGUGUGUAUUGUUUGGAAAAUGGUACAUAUUUAGGUAUUUGUUGAACAACAUCAAUCCUAAAGUAUAUGAGGAAUCAAUACGACGGGUUUAAAGGUGAGAUUAGGAAUAACGAAACCUUGGUGUGAACUUAGUGAGCGAUAAUUUAGUGCCAGCUAGCGUGUUCGGGAAAAUACGUCUAGUAAAUUAUUGUAGUUGCUCGGGAGAGAAUUACGAUACCUAAAAUGCUCACGAUCAGUAGAGAAUACUUAGGAAGAAUUUAUGGGAUACGUAGGCGGGAGGAAUCCGACAAUUGGGGAAAUCAUAACUCUAGACUUUUUCAAUCUUGUCUACAACCUUGAUUUUAGUAGUAAUAAAGUUACAUCAUUUUAAUUACCUAACUUUUAGUUAGAAAAUACUCAACCCAUUAUUUAACAUUUCUAGAAGUUGAUUACUUGAAUUCUUGCGAAACUAGUAGUUGUGAUUAGUAGGUUAAUUCCCUGUGGGAUUCGACUCCGGACUUGAAAAUCAGAUUAUAUUUGCAACAACCACUAGUCAUUUUAGGAGGCAUAUUUGGGCGUGGUCAACCCUCAAAAUAUAACAAUGCUGCUAGUCAUCUAGCAUCUCCGGUCAAAACCAUCGCAUCUGCGAGCCCAUGCUCGCAUCUGCAAGCUUCACUUACACUGUUAGCCUUCGCACGAGCAGUGAACCUGCCGUAUCUGAGGCUCCAGGUGAAACCAAACAGUUGUAGGUGCGCGAACCCUCAUGUCUGCCCCAUCUCGCAGGCUAGCACAAUGUCCUUGCAGGUGCGCCUUCGCACCUGCGCCCAUCAUCGCAGAAGAGACCAUUCACAGGACCAACCAACAUCACAAAAGUGACCACCCUUCACAUGUGCGGCUUUGAACCUGUGCUCAAACCUCUAUAGGUGCGAUGCACCAUAACCAGAACUUCCAGAUAAAACCAAAAUGGUCCAAAAUCAUUCCUAAAUACACUUGAGCCCCCCGACCCACGUACAAUAAUACCAACAAUUCCUAAUACCUUAUCCGAACUUAUCCAAAUGCUCAAAACACCACAACUAACAUCAAAACCAAGAAUCAACGAUCAAAAUCCAUUUCUUAAAUUCCAAACUUUCCAACUUCGCCAAACACGUUCGAAUCACACUUAGACAUUUCGGGUCACGAUCAAACUUUUCACACAAGUUUUAAUAAACUAAAUGAACCUAUCUAAAGUCCCAGAACACCAAUUGAAACCCGAUAACAUCAAAGUCAACUCCCGAUCAAACAUAUGAACUCUCCAAACCUUCAUAUUGCCAACUUUGGGCAAAUAGAGCCAAAACCUUCAAGGAACCUCCAAAUCUAAAACAUAUGACUAAGUCUAAAAUCACCAUAUUAACCUAUUUGAACCGUCAAAUCACCAAUCCGAGAUUGUUUAUUUAAAGUCAAGCAUUGGUCAACUAUUACAACUUAAGCUUCAUACCGUAGACAUAAGUGUUCCGAUUCACUCUUAAACCUUCUCAAAACCAACCUAACCAUCCCUACAAUUCAUCAAACAUCAAAUACACAUAUGGGGAAUAUCAAGUAGUCUAUUACACAAUAUGACCAACCGGGUGGUUAUAUUCUCCCCCUCUUAAAAUAACGUGCAUCCUCAAACGGGUUUAGAAUCAUACCUUAGAUACCAAAAAGAUGAGGAUAUAUGCCUCGUAUAUCAUGCUCGGUCUUUCGAGUCUCUUCCUCAACUGGUUUAUCUCUCCACUGAUCCUUUACUGAUGCAAUCUCUUUUGACCUCAACAUCCGAACCUACCUAUCCAAAAUGGCCACUGACUCUUCUUCAUAAGCUAAAUUCUCAUCCAACUGCAUUGAACUGAGAUCCAAAUCAUGUGGCUUGUCUUCAUAAUAUUUCCGAAGCAUGGAAUUAUGGAAUAGCAGAUGAACUCUGGACAAGUUGGGUGGUAAAGAAAGCCUGUAAGCCACCUCACCAACUCUCUCUAAAAUCAAAUGGACCAAUAUACUGAGGGCUCAACUUGCCAUUCUUCCCAAAUAUUAUCAUGCCCUUCAUUGGCAAAACUCUAAGAAGAACCUUCUCACCCUCCAUGAAAGCCACAUCACGAACCUUCCUAUCAGCAUAACUCUUCUGCCCAGGCUGUGCUUUAUAAAGCUUCUCCCGAAUCAACUUCACCUUCUCUAAAGAAUCACAAACUAGAUCUGUACCCAACAACCUAGCCUCGCCAGGCUCGAACCAACCAUCUGGAGAAUGACAUAGCCUUCAUACAUAGCCAUCUGAAUACUAGACUGGUAGUUAUUGUUGUAGGCAAACUCCGCUAAUGGAAAAAAAUGGUCCCACAAGCCUCCGAUAUCAAUAACAAAUGCUUUGUCACGACCCAAAAUACCAUCGGAGCCGUGACGACGCCUAACACCGCUUGCUAAGCAAGCUAUCAAUCAAUAAGCAGAAACAAAGUUUACUAACAAUAUUGAAUAGUCACAUUAGUGGGAUAAUCAUAAAUAACUACUGUCAAUAGAAAUAAUAUAACUAAAACCAUCCUAUGAUCUGGUGUCAUCAAGUAUAUGAGCUUUAUAACAAAAGUAAAUACAAGGUCUGAAUCAAAUCAAUACUUCUAAGAGACUAAAUAGUGUUAACAUGACAUAAAGAAAGGGGCUUCAAUGUCUGCGAACUGAACAUCCGUGCCACCUUGAAAUCUCCAAGCUAAUCCGGAUGUAGCUAACUGGCAAUAGAAGAUACCACCAAAACCUAGAUCUGCACACGAAUUGCAGAGUAUAGUAUGAGUACAACUGACCAUAUACUCAAUAAGUAGCAAGCCUAACCUCGGGCUGAAAGUAGUGACGAGUUUGGCAAUGUCUAAUGCUCACUUUCCACAGCUAACAAUAAUAAUAAUAGCAGAAUAAUAGCAUAUGAAGGAAAACAACACAAAGAAUAACAGGUUCAGCUUAACACAACAGAAAGAGAAAUAGACAUGCUUUUAAGAUAUAAUGGUCAAGGCAUCAACUUCCACAUAAUCCACUUAGACAUGUAUUAAUAAGAUAAAACUGUAAGAUCAAGCUCUAAACAUCAAGUAGAGUCAUCAAAUACCAAUUAGCAUGAGAGGUAAUACAUCUCAAUGCCUGCAUGCUAGUUAUACAUGCCAAUAUCAAGUGUAAACAAUCUCAGCACAUUCAUAAUGCUUGGCACAAAGUACCACUUAAUCAUACUCCAAGCACAGUCAUGGUGCUUGGCUCAAAGCCCAUAGACCCUCACACACACACAUACACACUCUCAGCACAGUACAGGUGCCUCACACAAGUCCCUCACCAAGCACAUAUAUAUGACCCUGUGCCUGCGCCCACGGUUAUUACCCGACUCUGGAGGGGCAAGUCCUUGCCAAAGUGCUGAUCGGAUCGAAGUCAACGAUUAAUAUCAAUUAGCCCAAUAUGAGGCCUGGCGUAUGCGACACCUCAUUAUCAAUACCAAUUGGCUUAAUGGCCCAAGAACAAUCAUCAAUCCGCUCAAGUAUCCAUAUGCCAACAUAUCAUAGAAACAUAAUUCAAUAUGCCACACAGAAUAUACCAACAUACUACAAUUUAGGUCAAACUCGUGUCAUGUACCAACAACAUAUGAGAUAACAUAUCAAAAGUACACAGAGAUAGAGAUAUAACAUGCGGAUAUAAUAUCAUGACUGAAAAGUAUGACUAUGACCAAGGCAAAUUGCUUAACAUAGCAAAAAUAGCUCUAUUAUGCCUCAACAAGUAAGCAAAUAGCCUAGACAUGAUUUCUAACAUGAAUGAUAGCUCACGUAGUCAUACAAAUGGAGAAAACAUGAUAUCAAAAGAAGGCAUAUAUUGGCCUAAGAACUACACGAAUUAUGAAUAACCACGAUGCACACAUAUUCUCUUGUCACCUCGCAUAUAUAUAACAAAUAUCACAGCCAACACGAAAAGUACCCUCAAGCCAAGCUUAGGCAAGUUAUAUACCUUAUCCGAUCUAGUAUUCAACCUCGAAUCACAUCAAAAGCUAGAUAUAGCCCUCCAAUCACACAAAUCAAAUCCAAACAUCAUCCAAGAAAGUCAAAAAUGCCAUAGGAACGAUCCCAAUCCAUAAAGCUUCAAUCUUUGAAGAAAUUCCCAAAAAUCAACCCAGGUCCACGUACCCGAAAUCUGAAACCAAUACCAAAAUCUGUUGACCCAUAACCUAUCGAGUCCAAAUAUGUAACUAGUUUCCAUAAUCGGGUCCAAAUCAGUGCUCAAAUUCCCCAGAUACACUUUCUUAAAGUGUAGGGAAAAAAUCCCCAAACUUCCUUUCACAAUUUCAAGUUUUAGGUGUAGAAAUAUAUGGGUAAUAAAUAUAUAAAGCCAAAUCCAAGUGAAAAUUGCUUACCUUUCAAAAUAUCUUCUUGUUGAAGUCUAGGGCUUAAAAUAUGAAAUAAUGGGCAAAUUUUGGAAAAUAGCAACUUAAAUAGUUUGCCCAAGCUGUACACUACACGAACGCGACCUCAGACCCGUGUUUGUGAAGGACAAAAUAACCAAAUGCCUAAAACCUUCAUCGGGAACGCGACAUGCACCAUGCGAACGCAAAGGACAACUGGCCUCUCAACCGUGCGAAUGCGAGAGACCAAUCUUGAACACGAAAGGCUGCUGACCAGCCUUCUACCACACUUCACGAAUACAAAGUUAUUUAUACAAACGCGAUAAUCAUCAUCCAUAAUGCUCCGCGAAUUCAAGAACUUCAUACCGAAUGCGAUGAACAAAUUACAAGUAACAGAGAACACUCUACGUGAAUACGACACAUUGAUAGCGAACACGACGCACAUCAGAACAACACGAGAAAUCAACAAUGCAACACAACCACAAGGGUCCAAAACUACCCUGAAUCACACCCGAGCCCCACGGGAUCUUGCUAACAAGUUCAGAUACAUAAUCCAUACUUAUCCAAAGGCUUAAAAUGCUACUAAUAACAUCAAAACUAAUAAUCGAAGACCAAAAUCAUUCUCUUAACUUCAAGAACUUUCAACUUGCAACCAAGCGUCCGAUUCAUGACUAACCAAUCUGGAUUCCAACCAAACUUUGCACACAAGUCCUAAAUGACAAAAUGAACCUAUUUCAACUUCCGGAACAAUAAUCCUAACACUAUACCAUCAACGUCAACUCCUGGUCAAACUUGAGAACUCUCAAAUUCUUCAAAUUGCCAACUUUCACAAAAUAGAGCCAAAACCUUCUAGGAACAUCCAAAUCCAAAUUCGGACAUAAGCUUAAGCCUAAAAUCACCAUGCAAACCUAUUGGAAUCAUCAAAACAAAAAUAUGAGAUCAUUUACUCAAAAGUCAAACAUUUAUCAACUUUUCUAACUUAAAGCUUCUGAAUUAAGAAUUACUCUCCCAAAUCAACUCCGAACCUCUCGAGUCAUACGCACGAGUCAUAAUAUAUAAUGUGAAGCUAAUCAGAGUCUCAUACCGCAAAACAAAGUACUAAAGCUCAAAACAAGCAGUCGGGUCGUUAUAGGCUCUCAACAUAUCCUCAAGGAUCUGAAUGGUCCACACAGACUCCAUUCCUGUGGGGUGGAAUGCAGUACUCAGCUCCAUCUGUGUGCCCAACUCUCGUGAAUGGCUCUCUAGAAGUGCGAUAUAAACUGAGUUCCCUGACCCGAGAUGAUAGAAUCAGGCACACCAUGCAAAUGAACAAUCUCUCUAAGUACGCUCAUGGUGCCUGGCUCAAAACCCAUGGACCCUCACACACACACUCGCUCAGCACUGUACCGGUGCUUGAUACAAGUCCCUCACCAAGCACAUAUAUAUGAACUUGUAAUUGCGCUUACAGUUAUUACCUUAUUUCGGAGGAGAGGGUCCUUGCCCAAGCACUGAUUGGAUCGAAGUCAACGAUCAAUAUUACUUAGCCCACUAUAGGGCUUGGUGCACACAUUACCUCAUAAUCAAUACCACACAGCCCAACAUGGGGCCUGGCACAUGCGUCACCGCAUUAUCAAAUCAAACAGGCUCUAUGGCCCAAGAUUAGUCAUCAAUCCGCUCAAGUCUCCAUAUGGAACCAUCUCACAGAAAAAUAAUUCAUUAUACCACACAGAAUAUACCAACGUACUGCAAUUCAGCUCAAACUCGUGUCACGCACAAGGACACCAACAACAUGUGAGAUAAUAUAUCAAAAGUGCACAGAGACAGAGAUAUAAUAUCAUGACUGAAAAGUAUGACUACAACUAAGGAAAAUUGCUCAACAUAGAAAACAUAGUCCUACCAUGCCUCAACAAGUAAGCAAAUGGCGUAGACAUGGUUUCUAGCAUGAAUGAUAGCUCACGCAGUCAUACAAAUGGAGAAAAUAUGAUAUAAAAGAAGCAUAGCAAAAUAAGGCAUAUAUUGUCCUAUGAACUACUCGAAUCAUGAAUAACCACGGUGCACACAUAUUCGCUCGUCACCUCGCAUAUAUAUAACAUUUAUCAUAGCCAACAAGGAAAAUACCCUCAAACUAAGCUUAGGCAAGAUACUUACCUUAUUCGAGCUAGUCUUCAACCCCGAAUCAUGUCAAAACUUAGAUCAAGCCCUCUAUCACACAAAUCCAAGCCAAACAUCAUCCAAGGAAGUCAAAAAUGCCAUAGGAAGCGAUCCCAAUCCAUAAAGCUUCGAUCUUUGAAGAAAUUUCCAAUAGUCAACAAAAGUUAUCCCGGACCUUUGUGCUCGAAAUCCAAGACCAAUACCAAAAUCUGAUGACCCAUAAUCUGCCAAGUCCACAUAUUUCCAAAAUCGGAUCCAAAUCGGUACUCAAAUUCCCAACAUACACUCUCUUAAAGUGUAGGCAAAAGCCCAAAAUUUCCUUUCAAAAUUCCAAGUUUUAGGUGUAGAAAUCCAUGGGUAGAUAAUAUAUAAAGCCAAAUCCAAGUGAAAAUUUCUUACCUCACAUGUAGUAGUGAAAUUAAUCUUAAAAAUAUCCUCUUCUGGAAAUCUAGGGCUCAAAAUAUGAAAUAAUGGGCAAAGUUCCGAAAAUAGCAACUUAAAUAGUUUGCCCCAGCUAUACACUAUGAGAGUACAACCUUAGCCACGCGUUCGCAAAGAACAAAAAAACCCCAGCGCUUAAAGCCUUCAUCACGAACGCGAGGGCCAACUCGCCUCUCAACUGUGCGAACACGAGAGGCUAAGCGCAAAUGCGAAAGUCUGCUGACCCGCCUUCUCCUGCAUUUCGCGAACUUAAAGUUACCUAUGCGAAUGUGAUAGCCAUCAUCCAUAAUACUCCGCGAAUGCGGGAACUUCAUCGCGAACACGAUGAACAAAUUACCAACUGCCCAGAACACUUUACAUGAAUGCGACACACAGAUCGCGAACACGAAACAUAUCAGAAUAACACCAGAAAUCAGCAAUGCAACACAACCACAAUGGUUCGAAACCACCCGAAUCACAUCCGCGCCCUAGAGGACCCCAUCAAAUCAUGCCAACAAGUCCAAAUACAUUAUCCAAACUUAUCCAAAAGCUCUAAAUGCCAGAAAUAACAUUAAAUCCAAUAAUCAAAGAUCAAAAUUAUUCUCUUAACUUCAAGAACUUCCAACUUACAACCAAGCAUCUGAUUCAUGCCUAACCAAUCCGAAUUUCAACCAAUAUUUGCGCACAAAUCCAAAUGAAAAAAUGAACCUAUUCCAACUUCCGGAACAAUAAUCUGAACCCAAUACCAUCAAAGUCAACUCCUGGUCAAAACUUGUGAACUCUCCAAUUCUUCAAAUUGCCAACUUUCGCCAAAUAAAGCCAAAACCUUCUAGGAACAUCAAAAUCCAAAUUAAGACAUAUGCUUAAGCCCAAAAUACCAUACGAACCUAUUGGAAUCAUCAAAACACAAAUCCGAAAUCACUUAAUCAAAAGUCAAGCCUUCAUCAACUUUUCCAACUUAAAGCUUCUAAAUUGAGAAUUACUCUCCAAAAUCAUAACCAAAUAUACACGAGAUUCAUAAUGCAUAAUGUGAAGAUACUCAAAGUAUCAAACCGUCGAACGAAGUGCUAAAGCCCAAAAUAACCAGUUGGGUCGUUACAUUCCCCCCUCCCCCCCCCCCCACUUAAACAUACGCUCAUCCUUGAACGUGCCGAGAAUCAUUCCAAAACUGCCAAAAUCACUAAAUAACUCAUCAUACACAUGCCCAUGGGUGAUCUCAUGUCACCUCAAACCACAUAAGGCCAUUACACAAACCGGGCUGAGAUUUCUUCCUUCAACCUUAGCUUAAGAAUCCACAUGACUAAUUUCUAUAUUUUGGAUCUCCCUCUAAGAUCCGAUUCUUAAUUGCAUACAUUGUGUCAAUAUCAACAAGUUCUACCAAAGCAUAAGUAUACUCCCAAUAUGUAACCAUACUAUGCACCACAUGACUCAUCUACCCAAAGCGAUGACUUUCGACCACAAUAGUUGCUCAUUACCAAAUCAAAUACCACUAAUAUAAUUCAUGACAAAUAAACCUUGUUCCAACCAUCACAAUAGUGAAAAUGAUGAAAGGAACGUGUAGAAACUCAUAACCACCCGUCUUAUCAAUAAGUCAUAGAGUCCUCUCACCCGACAAGAACAAUUGCUAAGUUCUAAGCUGAUUAGUGACAUUCUUCUUCCAAACAUACAUUAUACAAAUCCAAUUGCACUGAUUCUAGGUCCAAUGUCCUCAUCUCACCUGGUACAAGCUGCUCGACUCAAGCAACAUCAAACACCAUCAAGAACCUUAUACGACGCGAUCCGUACACCAACAUACAACUGCCAAAAUAUGAUCUGUAAUGGAAAAAUACCAAAAGAAAACCAUCCACCAAGCUUUAAGAUAUACAAAAGUAAGCAUAAUGUUAUGAAUCCAUCCCACAAAGGAGCAACAAAAUACACAAAACGAGCAUCGGGAAUCAUAUCCAACAUAACUCUGUUGUAGCGUGUAAUCUGAUCCACACAUAAUACCAUUAUGGUAUAUAACCCGAUCCACAUAUAUCAAUACACAUGGGAAUACCCACCGAGCCAAAAUACUCAUACUCACUAAACAAAUGUGUAAUAACAACAAACACAUAAGGUGCAUAAACAUAAGCAUGGGAAGAUGGAUAGCAUACCACGCUACAAAAAAGGCCAAGCACAACUAAGGUGUAAUAAGCAAAUCAGCAUCUCAAGAACCAUCUUGCUCAAACAUCGUCACAAGGCCUAAACGAAACCAUAACAUGCGUAGAUAAUCAAGUCAUCUCACAACCCAUCAUUGCAUAAUAAAGUAGCACAUGAAACAGAACAAGGCAUGAAUAAUAUCUAUUCCGCCCACUGACGCAUAUGUAGAAUACAUAUUCUCAUUAGGCCUACCAAUGGGCCUCCAAACCAAUCAGGUCAUUCCAAGAUAAGUCAAUAGCCAUCCAAAAGUCCACGGUGACUCUAACCAUGACACAUACAAAUCAAAUGUCAAUUCCUGAACACACUUCUACGGCCCUCAACCAAAGGUAUUGUCUACCUCUUAGAAAUAAAAUCUCCAAACUGCGAGAGUACCUAAAAUCUCUAUACCUGAUCUCUAACUCUCCUAUUCACAUGAUUGACACGUCAUGAAUACACACUCCUCCCAUGGAAGAUAUUGCCAUAACCUUUUGAACCACGCAGAAAAACCUAAACAUUAAUGGCUACCAACCAUGCGAUCCCUGUAGUGCUAGUCAAGCAUCCACAAUUAAUACACAAAGGAUCUUCCGCAAAACACACCCUCCUCAGGCGAUACCGAAAGGGUGCUUACUCUUAAACAUAUGAAAGCUCUCACAAUGUUUAGAAAUCAUGACAUUCCAUUCUAAAUUGAACCGCAACCUUAUCCAUGCAAUCCCAAUUCCACACAGCUCACCGUAUCAAUCAUGCUAAUAUGCGAAAAUACGAGAAUCCCAUUAUCAACUCCGAAUCAUGGAUAUGAUACAUAAUCCAUCAACUAGAAACCUUUUACUAAGCUCAAUUUAGGAGAAAAUCAUAACGCACAAAAAUUUUUCAUGCUUAUAAAAGACACCAAACGCAAGCCGUGGUCAAAAUCAUCGCAAAUUCUUUGGAACAUGCACAUAACCAAGCCAGUCGAACUGAAUACAUCUAAAUCACCCAAGUCGUAUAGACUACCAAACCCAAUAACAUUACCACAAAACACCUGUGAAGCCCUAUAAUACCAAGGAACCACUCGUCUCUGUUACCAUGCUGACCUAAGCCACUACUAAAUGGACCUAACUCAUUUGGAUUACUCAUGACCCUUCUUCACAACAACACUACUCUUCCCAAAUAUACUAUGGACAUCAAUCACAACUUAUCCCAGGUGAUCCCAAUGUGAAAUCUCAAUGUCCUAAGAUUCGUGAGCCACUUAUUCCCUCUUAUACAUUUGGUAGUACCUCAAACCCAGGUGCUUGUUUUGAAGAAGCUUUCUAUGAAUAUAAAGUUCUUCCCUUCAUCUCUCAAACACUACCUCACAUUACUAAUAACAAUAUAGAAAUGCUCCAAGUCUCUUCUACAAUUCGACACAAAUCUUGAAUCUUUAGUCACACACAAAUCCGUAAAGCCUUAGAUACUACAUAUUGAAUCUUGAAUCCAUUAAAACCUUCUCAAGAGUCACCCACUCAGUCCUAGUCCCAAAUACAUAACCAAUCAUGCCAAUGAUUAUUGCUCCACUAGCACAUGAAUACUCUGAAAAGAAAACAACCGCUCGAAUCCUUCCCUUGCACACUACAUCCAUAUAAGAAUAUUAAACAUGAGUCUACCCACGGUCACUAUAUAUCACCAAGGUGAAAAACCAGUCACACCCAGCAAUUCCUUGCCUAAAUCAUCCUCAAGGUCAUCCUCCUAAGAUCAUAUCUAAUCCACAAGCGCCCCUCAGUCCAUAAUCAAUAACAACACUUGAUUAGGUGAUCCAAUCGCCGAUGGUAGGCUCCCUUACUUAGCGCUAAGCCACUAUCACAUAAUCCAAGAACCCAUAAUGGUUGCUCCUCUUUAGCUGCCAUGAUCCUACAUUGUUACUCAGCUGGAUUUCUCAUAAGAUUAUGCUGUACUAACCAUAAUGUAUCCCAGAUCAUCAACCCAAAUGCACACUCAAUCUCGUAAUAGUCCUGCCAUCUUCCUCAAGCGAUCCGAACCCCAUAUUGUAGCACAUGAAUCUCACUAGGUAGAAGGUAAAACUCUUCAUAGAAACCUCAUAAGAAAUCAUACAACCCCCAACUUCCUCACAGGAUAUAACCACCUGUGUGACCUCAUACAACAUCUUUCUAUGACCUACCAUGGGUACAACUGCCAUGUAAUCAAUGACUCCUCCUGAGUCCACACUUAUCCAUAAGCUGCAAAAAUCUAUUUCAUUCCACCAAUGUACAACUAGAAGACCCUUCAUCACUUCCCAACUGAAGACGGUAUGUGCACCAAGAUAAUAAUCAAGCAUUCACAAUCCCUUAGUAGCUCAAGCAAACCCUUCUCGUUAGAUUCGAACUCUCAAAAUGUAAGAAGCCACCACCAAUAUAAAAUGCCCUCUAUGGUUCAUAAUGGCCUCAUAUCAUCAAACAUUCUCGAAAUUCCCAGCAACCUUACCGCAAUACCCAUAAUUAUAUGUUCUCACUUCCAUAUCAGUAUAGCCAUCUUCCGGAGUAAACCACUCGGUCUCUAAUGCUCAUUCCCAACCUGCUGACAAUCAAACACUAUGAGACAUGCUCAAUAAUGCUGCCUCAAGUUACGAUACCUCUCUGUAACACUUGAAUGGAUAGAAUACCACAACUACGAGCCUCCUCAAGGAUGAUCUUCCUCGAACCAUCAUUAUUGAAAAUGCAUAUCCAACCCCGAAGUCGCAACACAUUGUCCCCACUAAGGAUCACCUCCUUAGCACUACCCCGCAACACCUUGUUCCUGAGGACAAGCAAACAUAUACCAUCAUAUCGACCAUCCUUAAUGAGCUCAAAUAAGGAUGACCGCACAACAACACAAGCAAAAGCUCUACUCAACCAGAUAAUACUUCUCAUAGGGAUGUUACUCCCGCAACUCUAUUAACUAAAGCCUGAACAUCCAUAGCCCAACACCUCUCCUCCGCAAAAACAAAUGCCAAACUCCAAAUUGUGAACCUGAUAAUCCUUCUCAUAGGGAUGUUACUCCCGCAAGCUUAAGCAAUCACCCUGCCAUUAUUUGCCAACACAACGUCAAGAUCAAUGCUUGAAUCAUCACAAUACACUCUAUAGGGCCCCGAACCUGUGGAUAACACCAACACUGGGGCUGUAAUAUGUGGCAACUCAUCCGUAAAGUGAUAAAAGUAGUCUGACCUUCUACACAAGGGAAAAUAUCCCGCACUAUAUAUGUAUCAUCAUCAGAGCUCGUCUGGUGCCUAACUGAUAUCGAAUACUCAUAAUCGCGUACAAAAUGAGUAGGAGAGGACUGAAGAUAUAUGCUUCAAGCCGAGAUAAAGUCGCACGAUAAGGAAUCAAGAAAGGGAAAGUUUCCUAAAGCCCUAUAGCAUCCUGAAGAUAAAUACAGAUGCCUCCCGACCGAUCUGCAAUACUCUACUAGGCCUGCUCAUGACUCGUAAGACCUAUAUGAACCUAGUGCUCUGAUACCAACUUGUCACUAUCCAAUAUUCCACUGGAGCCAUAACGAUGCCUAACACCUCUUGCUAGGCAAUCCAUCAAUCAAUAAGUAGAAACAAACUUAACUAACAAUAUUGAAUAGUCUCAUCAGCGGGAUAAUCAUAACUAAAGUCAAUAGCAAUAAUAUGAAUAAAACCAUCCCAUGAUCUGGUGUCAUCGAGUACAUGAACUCUAUAGAAUAAGUAAAUACAAGGUCUGAGUUAAAUACGAUAUUAUCUGAGAGACUAAACAAUGUUAAUAUGAAAUAAAGAAAGGAACUUCAAGGCAUGCGAACAAAAAUAUAGUGCCUCGACGAAUUCUCCAAGCUAAUCCGGAUACAGUCAUUAGCAGCCGCCGCUAUCAAAAAUACCUAGAUCUGCAUACAAAGUGCAAAGUGUAAUAUGAGUAUAACCGACCCUAUGUACCCAAUAAGUAGCAAGCCUAACCUUAUACUGAAAGCAUUGCUGAGUUUGGCAAGGUCUAAGGCUCACUUUCCACAGCCAACAAUAAAAAUAACAACAAAUAAUAACACAUGAAGGAAAACUCAAAAAAUAACAGUCUCAGCUUAACACAAUAGAAGGAAUGCUUUUAAUAUAUAAUGGUCAAGGCAUUAACUUCCACAGAAUCCACUUAGACAGGUAUUUAACAAGAUAAAAUUGUAAUAUCAAGCUCUAAACAUCAAGUAGAGUCAUCAAGAUACCAAUUAGCCUGAGGAUAAUACAUCUCUAAUUCAUGUAUGCCAGUUAUACAUGCCAAUAUCAAGUGUAAACAAUUUCAGCACAUUCAUAGUGCCUGGCACACAGUACCCCUUAAUCAUACUCUAAGCACGGUCAUGGUACCUGGCUCAAAGCCCAUAGACCCUCACAUACACACACAUAUAUACUCUCAGCACUGUAUGGAUGCCUCACACAAGUCCCUCACCAAGCACAUAUAUAUGACCCUGUUCCUGUGCCUAUAGUUAGUAGCUAACUCCAGAGGGGCGGGUCUUUGCCCAAGUGCUGAUCGGAUCAAAGUCAAUAAUCAAUAUCACUCAGCCCAAUAUGGGGCCUAGCGCACACGACACCUCAUUAUAAAUAUCAAAUUCGCUGAAUGGCCCAAGAUCAAUCAUCAGUCCGCUCAAGUUUCCAUAUGCCAACAUCUCAUACAUACAUAAUUCAAUAUGCCUCACAGAAUAUACCAACAUACUACAAUUCAGCUCAAACUCGUUUCACGUACCAACAGCAUAUGAGAUAACAUAUUAAAAGUACACAAAGACAAAUAUAUAACAUGCAGAUAUAAUAUCAUGACUGAAAAGUAUGACUACGACCUAGGCAAAUUUCUCAACAUAGAAAAAGUAUCCCUAUCAUGCCUCAACAAGUAAGAAAAUAUCCUAGACAUGGUUUCUAGCAUGAAUGAUAGUUCGUGUAGUCAUGCAAAUGGAAAAAACAUGAUAUCAAAGAAGCAUGAUAGGAAAAUAAGGCAUAUACUAACCUAAGCACUACCCGAAUUAUGAAUAACUACGGUGCAUACAUAUUCACUAGUCACCUCGUAUAUAUAUAACAAAUAUCACAGCCAGCAAGGAAAAUACCCUCAAGCAAAGCUUACGCAAGUAUAUACCUUAUCCGAGCUAGUCUUUAACCUUGAAUCGCGUAAAACCUUGAUAUAGCCCUCCAAUCACACAAAUACAAGCCAAACAACAUCCAAGAAAGUCAAAAAUGCCAUAGGAACCAAUCCUAAUCCAUAAAGCUUCAAUCUUUGAAGAAAUUGCCAAAAGUCAACCUGGGCCCACGUGCCCGAAAUCUGAACUCAAUACCAAAAUUCGUUGACCCAUAACCCGUCGAGUGCAAAUAUGUAACUAGUUUCCAAAAUCAGGUCCAAAUCAGUGCUCAAUUCGCAAAAUACACUUUCUUUAAAGUGUAGGCAAAAACCCCAAAUUUCCUUUCAAAAUUCCAAGUUUUAGUUGUAGAAAUAGAUGAAUAAUAAAUAUAUAAAGUUAAAUCCAAGUGAAUAUUGCUUACUUCUAAUAUAAUAAUGAAAUUACUCUUCAAAAUCUCCUCUUCUCGAAGUCUAGGGCUUAAAAUAUGUAAUAAUGGGCAAAGUCCGAAAAAUAGCAAUUUAAAUAGUCUGCCCAAGCUGUACACUACACAAAUGUGAUCUCAGACCCGCGUUUGCGAAGAAUAAAAUAAACCAGCGCCUAAAACCUUCAUGCACCACGCGAACAUGAUAUGCACCAUGGGAACGCAAAGGCCAACUAGCCUCUCAACUGUGUGAAUGUGAGAGACCAAUCGGGAACGCGAAAGAAUGUUGUCCAGCCUUCUCCCACACACUGCGAACGAUAAUUUACCUAUACGAACACAAUAGACAUUAUCAAAAAUACUCCAUGAAUGCAAAAACUUCAUCCCAAACGUGAUCAACAAAUUUACAGCAACACAGAACACUCUACGCGAACGCGACACACUGAUCACGAACACGAAAUACAUCAAAACAUCACGAGAAAUCAGCAAUGCAACACAACCACAAUGGUCCAAAACUACCCUGAAUCACCCCUGAGCCCCACGGAUCAUGCCAACAAUUUCAAAUACAUUAUCCAAACUUAUCCAAAGGCUAUAAAUGCCACAAAUAAGAUCAAAACCAUUAAUCGAAGAUUAAAAUAAUUCUUCUAACUUCAAGAACUUUUAACUUGCAACCAAGCGUCUGAUUCACGCCUAACCAAUCUGGAUUCCAACCAAACUUUGAACACAAGUCCCAAUUGACAAAAUGAACCUAUUUGAAUUUCUUGAACAACAAUUCUAACCCGAUACCAUCAAAGAUAACUCUUGGUCAAACUUGAGAACUCUCCAAUUCUUUAAAUUGUCAACUUUCACCAAAUAGAGCCAAAAUCUUCUAGGAACAUCCAAAUCUAAAUCUGGAUAUACGCAUAAGCCCAAAAUAACAAUGCAAACCUAUUGGAUUCAUCAAAACAUAAAUACGAAAUUGUUUACUCAAAAGUCAAACAUUCGUCAACUUUUCCAACUUAAAACUUCUAAAUUGAAAAUUACUCUCCCAAAUCAACUCUGAACCUCUUGAAAAUUGAAACCAACCAUAUACGCAAGUCACAAUAUAUAAUGUGAAGCUAAUAAAAGUCUCAAACCACUGAACAAAGUGCUAAAUAUCAAAAUGACUAGUCAGGUUGUAAUAGGCUCUUAACAUAUCCUCAAGGAUCUGAAUGGUCCGUACAGACUCUAUUCUUCUGGGGGUGGAAUGCAGUACUCAGCUCCACCUGUGUACCUCAUUCUCGUUGAACGAUUCUCCAGAAUUGCGAUAUAAACUGAGUUCCCCGAUCCGAGAUAAUAGUAACAUGCACACCAUGCAAACAGACAAUCUCUCUAAUGUCGAUCUGAUCUAACUUCUCUAAAGUGUAAGAUUUUAUGACCAAAAUAAAAUACGCAGACUUGGUCAAUCUGUCCACAAUGACCCAAAUAACGUCAAAUCUCAUCAAAGUCUAUGGUAAUCCUACCACAAAGUCCAUAGUAAUGCGCUCCCACUUCCACUCCGGUAUCACCAAUUUCUAAGUCAUACCACUUGGUUUAUGAUGCUUAUACUUGACCUGCUGACAAUUCAAACACCACGAAACAUGCCCAAUAAUGUUGGAGUUGUAAUGACCCAAAAUAUCUACUUGUCAUGACCCAAAAUUUCAUCAAGUCAUGGUGGCACCUAACACAACCCGCUAGUAAGCCAAAUAAUAAAAAUAAACUCAUAACUAGAACAAAAGAUCAUCAAUAAUCCAUAAAUAAGAUGUCUAAAUUCCAUACAAUAUCCCAAGAAUUGGAAGUAUAAGUCAUGAACCACUAAGAUUUGGAUUUAUAAAGCUGUUACUAAGAAUAAAUGCAACAUAUAUUUGAAGUAUACAUAAAAAAAAAUUAUAAGUCAUAAACUACCAUGAACAAGUGGUAGCUCGAAUCUGGAUUUCUGGUUCAACUUUAAUGCUAGCCUUUGUCAUCCACAACAACUCAAUUCCAAAAUCUGCACGCAAGGUGCAGAAGUAUAGUAGGAGUACAACCGACUCCAUGUACUCAGUAAGUAUCCUGACUAACCUCGGUGAAGUAGUGAUGAGGUUUUUAAGUCAAAAGAUACUCACUUUACUUAACCUGCGUAGCUCAAUAGCAUAUAUAUGUACAUAACACAAUACCAAAAUCUAAGCAUGAAGUACAUGUAAAACCAACUAUGCACAUAGAGAUGAUAUGCCCUAGUACCAUAAACUACUACAACUCAGCAUAUAGAGGAGAUAUGCACUGGUAUCGUAACCCAGCUACAAUCAGAAUAUAAAGAGGUUAUGUAUUUGAAUACCAAAUAACUCAUCAACAAUUGCAUAUAGAGAAGUUAUGCGUGAAAUAUCAAAUAAUCCUUAAACCAUUUCAUACAGAGAAGAUACUUAUGAAACAUCAAAUAAUCUAUCAACCAUUGCAUAUAGAGAAGAUAUGUAUGAAAUAUCGAUUAAUUCGUCAACCAUUACAUAUAGAGAAGAUAUGCAUAAAAUAUCAAAUAAUCUAUUAAUGUAACAACCUGACCGGUACUUUUGAGUUCUAACAUUUCAUUAUGUAAUUUGAGACUUCGAGUGGCUUCCUAUGGUAUAUUACGACUUGCGUGCAUGGUUUGAUUUUUAUUUUCUAGUGGUUAGAAUUGACAAAUGUUUGACUUUUGAGUAAACAACCUCGGAUUGGUAAUUUGAUGAUUCCAACAGGUUCGUAUGGUAAUUUUGGACCUAGGUGUAUGUUCGGAUUUGAAUUAGGAUGUUCCUAGAAGGUUUUGAUUCUAUUUGUCGAAAGUUGGCAAUUUGAAGAAUUUGAUAGUUCAUAGGUUUGUUCAGGAGUUGACUUUGGUGUUAUCAGACUCCUAUUAUGGUUUUGAGACCUUGUAUAUGUUCAUUUAGUUAAUUAAAACUUGUUUGCAAAGUUUUGUUGUGAUAAGAAAUGUCUAAGUGUGAUUUGGACGAGUUCGGCGAAGUUGGAAUGUUUGAAAGUUAACAAUAUGUUUCGAUAUUUGAUUCUUGGUUUUGAUACUAAUUGUGGUGUUUUUAACCUUUGGAUAAGUUUGGAAGAUGUAUUAGACUUUUUGGCAUGAUUAGACGGGGUUCCGAUGGGCUCGAGUGAGUUUAAGGGUUGUUUCCAACAAUUUUGGAUGAGUUUGCAUUACUGAUUUUCUGGUGUCCCUGAUGAGGUUCGUCAUCGUGGAAAGUGCUUCAUGACUACGUAGAGUAUUUUGGUCACUGGGGAUUUGUUCUUCGCCUUCUCGGGGGAGUGACUGCAUUCGUGUCAUGUUGGGAUUGUCGAUCAUCAUGUUCACAGCUUGAGGUUCGCAUUCGCGAAGAGGUAAACACAUGCUGAAGGUUUUACCGUCGCGCUCGCAUAGUGGUCCUCACGUUCGCGCAACUAACUAGGGUUGGUCUUUGCUUUUGAAUUGAUAGCAUCGCAUUCACGAAGAGGAGUUGGAUCUAGGGUUGUGUUUUGCUUUGGCGAUCGCGGGUGGCCUAUCGUGAUCACGAUGUAUAUUGCUGGGCAGUAUAUUUUAAGUGGAAUUUCGGGACUUCUGCUUAUUUUCUCAUAUAUUUUGAGCCCUAGACUUGGAGAGGGACGAUUUUGAUUGGAGAUUUUCAUAUAAGAUUAGGGGUUAAGUGAUUUUUACUCAUUUUUCAUAUUAUUUGAAGAAUCUACAUGAAUUCUUAACACCCAAAAUAUGGAAUUUUAAGAUAAAAUUUGAGAUUUUGUCUACACUUUAAGAGAGUGUAUUUUGUAGAUUUGGGUACCAAUUUGGACUCGAUUUUGGCAUCUAAUUAUAUAUUAGGACUCGACAGGUUAUGGGUCAUCGAAUUUAGAUAUUGGUUCCGGAUUUCGAGCACGCAAGCUCGGGUUGACUUUUGAUGAAUUUUUGGGAAUUCAUUAAAGAUCGAAGCUUUAUUGAUUGGGAGCGAUUACUAUGGCAUUGAUUGACUUCCUUGAAUGAUGUUUGGAUAGAUUUGAUUCGGUUAGAGGUGAUUUAUCAAGAAAAUGCCAUUUUCGAGCUUUGGACUAGCCCAGAUGAGGUAGCUACCUUGCCUAGCUUUGAUUGAGUGAAUAGUUUUCUAAUAAUUGAUAUUUUUUGCUACAUGCUGAUACACUCAAAUUGCACCUAUAUAAAUGGUGUAAGGAGGCCGAUGUCAAAUAUAAUAACCCAACAAGGUUGGGGUUGAAUCCCACAGGGAAUAUGCGUGAAACGAUUACUUGAGUGGUGUGUUACUUGACUAAGGCCAUGAUUCUACUUUGUUAGUUUUGAAAGAGAUUGAUAAUUGUGAAUCGUUAAGAGAAGCUAUUGGUUAAGAGAAUUGAUUAAUUGGAUUAGGAAACCAAGGUUGUGUCCCCUUCUAUGGAAUGUAAUGCUAUCAGUGUUAAUAUGAUAUAUUUCUAAUGGGAAGUCCUUUGAUAUGCAAAUAGAUUCUAAAUGACUACCCAAUAGUUACGUAGUAUUUCCUCUUUAUGCUUUUUCCAAAUAUAAAAGAGUUAUAAUUGAGAGNNNNNNNNNNNNNNNNNNNNNNNNNUUGCACCCACUUUGGGUCUGCAACAUUAGUUUUUAAAGUUAGAUACUUAUGCUAAAAUACAAGAACAAAGUAUUGAAGAAAGUCAUGAAAUCUUACAAUGAAGAUAAAGUGUUGGAAUCUAUCCAAAAAGCUCCAAAACAAGUGUAGUAUUCAAUGCUCUCAAUGUAGGACCCUUUUUAGAAAAGAUAUCCCACAAAAACUCUAGUUAUUCUAUUUAUAAUGGUCCAAAAGUCGUGGACAAAAUGUGAUAAAAUUAGGCCUUCAGGAGAGUUUGCGAUCACAGAAUAGACCACAGAUGUGAUCCGCGGUCCACACAAUCAUUGCAAUGCCGCAGAUCUGAUCUUCAACACUUCUAGAUUUCCAUCGCAUAUCAGUUAUGCAGUCUACAUACUGAUUCCGCGGUCGCAUAAUGAAUCGCAUAAUUAUCACUUUAGAUCACUGGAAAUUUAUCUUGCAUUUGUGCGACAAUUCUUCUUUCCGCACAAUGGUUAUGCGACCACAUAUUUGACUCUUAAAACUGGGCUGGCAUGGUUACAUCUGUGAUAGAAAUGCGGUUCGCACAUCUAUUCUGCGGUCACAAAUCUCCCUUCUUCAUAGUUUUUGACAUCUUUUUCUUGGCUCUUCAAGUCCGAUUUCCUGCAAAACAACAUAAUUACAUAUGAAAUGACUCAAAAUGCUUUAAAAGGAAAGCUAAAGUCUAUGAAAUUAGUAUCGAAAGUGCCACAUUUCUACAACACAUCAACAUCCCUAACUUAAAAUCUUGCUUGUCCUCAAGUAACUAAAGAGCUACCAUACUAGGGACUAUUCUACUUCCGAUUGUUCACAAAAUAUUAAUGAUUGUAGAUGGUGCUAACUGUUAGCUAACAAACAUGUGACUUCCAUCAUCUGCCCUUCAGCAAAGACAAAAAUUGUUUAGUCGUUCAAAUAAUCAAGUUGUGAGAUUCGAGCCUCAAAAGCAAUGAUAGAGUGCUACUAAUAGCUAGAUAUGCACUUGCGUCCUACUUCAAGAAGCCUAAGUUCUGCUAACUCUUGCAAUUUAUGCGUCCUCAUAACAAAGAAAAUCCCAAUUCAACAUAUACAAAUAUGUACAAGGGAUACAUUCAAAAAUUCUCGCACUCAGAAAGAAAGCCAAAUGCUACAAGUAUCAGUCCAUAUGCCUGCCCUUAUUUUAAAUCGUUGCUAAAUCGAGAAUAGUUGGUUGUUGAUCAAAAAGAACUUUUCAUGGUUUGUAGUUUAGGCUUGGGGACGAGUUUGAUGAAUAUCUGGGAAAUUAGUGACUAUACCCUCCUUGAACACUACAUAGAUUCUUUCUUGAAUUGAACACAUUGCCCUUAUUGACAUCUAAUUGCUACUAUCAACCCAUCUUGUAGUUCAUAACCACCCCCUAGUUUCUUGUCUUAUCACAUUUGCUCAACACUCCAUUUUAUCUUCUUUUAUUUAGAAGAUUGGGUAUUAUGUGGUUUAGGAUGACGUGAAGCUUUUGGUUUUAAGUACGUUGGCUCUCAACUUAGCCGCUCGCUUCACUAGACACAUCCUCAAAAGAUUAGCCUUUACACAUGAUACAUUCCUCAGCCAUUUCCCAAUUGAUACCAACACCCCCAACUUAGACUUUAAGCCUCAUUUAUAACAUUCAAGGAGGGACGAGUUGAAAAGAGGGAGUAAUUUCACCAAAAGGGCUAAAGGUUUGUAAUGUGGUAGCCAAAGAAAAGGUUAAAGGCACAACGGGGGACAACUUGGGUAAUAAAUGCACAAAGGAAGUCAAUUUGGCCAAGAAUUAGUUAGCAAUCACAAAGAACGCCUAAGAUCAUUUUAACAACCAAACAUCAACCUAAGAUUUGCAUUGUAGAACCAACCGGGCAAGUUCUUGACAUUACGAGUUAUGCACAUGCAUUAUUCACAAAUUCUUACCACUCAUGACGUAUGAAAUGUCGAAUUGGCAUAUUUUUCACCCUUAAAUGAAUACAAGGAAAUGCAAAGCUUCAUCAUAUGAUGUUGAGAUUCUAAGUAAGUACAAAGUCAAAGAACGAGCCUCAAUUUCACAACAAUGACUAUUUAUUCAUUAAAUUUGAAGGGUACACUUUAUUUCACAAAACUUUAUCACAUGCUUGAAUCUAGUACAAAAAUUACCAAACAAGUCAAAAUGUUUCAUGAAUACGGACGUGGUUCUACUAUUACACCCCUGAAAAAGAACGUGGCAAAACGAACCAAGGGGAAUUCAUUACUAUCCAAAUUGUCAAGACUAAUACCUAUGUAUAAUUUGCAAAAGUUUUCAUGCUAACUCACCCCCAACAUAGAAGCAUGCAUUGUCCCUAAUGCAUUGAAAACGUUAUAGAAAAUUUUAGGGGCUUCCUGGAGCGCACUAAGUGGUUGGAGGGGUUAGAUUGUCUGAUGCGGCUGUGGGGCCGGGAGCAGCAACUGGAGGGUCAGUGGGGGUGAACUUCCAGCUGGGCAGUGAUUUCCGGGACAAACGUAGUGGACUCCUCAAGAUGCGGAGCCGAGUCCUAGACCUGGAAACUGCUAUCCUCACCCGGUGAUGGCUCUGUGGUAGUGAUGAUAGCCAUGGAAGCCAUUUCCUCAAGGGAAUGUGUGAUGGCCCUCUGCACGUCUGCCUGAUCAUCAUCCUGUUCCUCUGUAGAGACACCUGUUUACCUUUAUUAGUCAUAUGCGUAUCGACCUCCUAACAGCUUGAUCUUCAUAUGUCUCCUCACGAGACUCUACAUAUUCCUCAUUCAAAUGAUCAUCAGUGUGUGCAGCAGGUUCCUGAGACUGUGAGGUACCAGUACCAUGUUCGUCCUCUACGGAGAGGAGGUUUGUAAAGUCCAAAUCAAGGUCAGGUGCCUGGGAAGUGCCGGUGCCAUGCUCCUUCUCUACUAGGAGAAGAGUUGUGAGGUCAAACUCUAAUGUCUGCAUCUUAUGCAUCUCCAAGUUGAGCUCGACAACAUCCUUUUUGAGUUGAGGCAUGUCCCCAUCUCCACCUCGCUCAACCUUCUCAAGGCUAGCUUCAAUGUUCUGGAGUCGAUCUUCAUAAGAUAGAUGUUUCUUUUGAAGAUCACUCACUGAUCCUUAGAGUGGUGCCAACGCUUGCCUGAUGAACAGUGGAAGAUCUUUCACAAGCUUAUCUACUUUGGCAUUAACGUGUUGUGCUAAUAGAUCAAGCUUGGAAACGACAGGUAGUGAAAUAGGCAGUGUAGCAGUGGCCGGCCUGGAUGUUGAUAUUGUUGAUGGCCUAUGAGUGGAGGUAGAGGUGGAAGGUACUGAGGAGGUGGUACUGAGGAGGUGGCAUGUGUUGCUGAAGUAGAUGAGGCCGGCAGGAGGUGGUUUGGUUGCUCUGCGGACACAUUUUCUGAAGCAGUGGAGUCCAUAGUUAUUUAAAUAUCCUGAGUGGCCUCUACCAUGCGGUCAUAUUUUGGAACUGGGGGAACCUUUACGUCUUCACACAAAGCGGUGAUGAGGUUCGGAAAGGGGAGUGAAAUUUGCCCUUGGUUUGCCCGGACGCCAAUCUCAUGGAAUAUGAGCUGCCCCUAUAUCAAUCUUGAAACCCGACAUGAUUGAAGCAAUUAGGAUCGCCUUGUCUAGACUGAUGUCGGUCUUGUUUCUUAUUGGUUGUAUGCGAGAACAUAUAAAACUUAGCCAAUACCGACUUUCUUGGGUAAGAUCUCUCUUUUGAAUCUUCUGGCCCAGUUCAAUCCAGUAAGGAGUCCCCUGAGCUAUGGCAUAGGCUACCCAAACACGCUUAUCUUCCUUAUUUUCCAUCUUUGCAUCAUAUUCUGCCGUGCCUCCUUCCCAACUCUCGAAAUAGACUUCAUUUAUCGAUUUGGGGCCACAAGAUACCACAAUUCCUCUGAUUGUGACGGAGGUCAAGUAAGCACGGCGCCUCACUUGCUUCUUAGUCAUUGAGGCAGCAUAUACAACAUAGAAUUCCUUGACAAUUGUCUCAUUGAAUUCCCCCAGAGGCUCAGUGAAGAACUCCCAUCUCCUAUUCUUGAUGUUGUCUAGUACAUGCGGGAAGUUAUCUUAAAGUCCAUUCACACUUAGCUGCUUUUCUUCGAGGAUAUUCCUUUCUUUAAUGCCUCUUUGUAUUUACUCCAGUAUCCAACGAUGCUAAACCUAAGUGUAUCCUCUGCAUUCUUUCUUCGUACUUAUGCGCGGGGAUCAACUGGUGGCAUUGGUUCAAGUUGUGCCCUCUCCUAUUUAGACUAGGAGACUGACUCAGAUGAAGUAAUAUACCUGCCAGGCUUUUUGCAUUGGGGCUGUUGUGAUGUUGGACCUAUAGCUCUAGCCUGUCUCUUUCCUCUUGUGAUGGGUGUUGUAGAUGCUUGGGUUUUCUUUAGUGGCACUCCUGUCAAUAAAAGUGAAGUGAGCAUAUGGUAGAAACAUUCAUAGUAAAUGGAAAAGAAAUGAUGGGGAAAACUCAUUCUGCAAACACCAUAUGAAAUCGCAGAAUAAAUAUGUGGACCGCGAACUGCACCGCAGAAUAAACAAGGCUAUGGUCAACAAAUUAUGCGGACCGCAUAUGUGGUCGCAGAACUAAACUUCAACCACAGAAUGAACGCAGAUUCAACUUCAAAAUUCUAUUGCACCUGUUGAUUUCUGUGAUGCAUUCACGGCCCGCAUAUCAAUUUCGCGAUCGUAGAGUCACCACCCCACAAGCAUACAAUUUGUCUCAGAUAUGCAACGAUUCUGUGGACCGUGAAUCGGUUAUGCGGUGCCUCAAAAUUCAUCUUCUUCACUGAGAUACAAUGCGCAUGUAACUGUUGGACAUUAAUUCUACUCUAUACUACAUAGAUACUACGGGAUUUCAUAAAAUUUACACACAACAACCAGCAUUUGAUCAAACUCAAGUUCAACCCACGAAUACCUAAUGUGCAUUAUCAAGAAUCACUACAACAAAUAUCACAACCCAGUAACCCUAGCCCUAUCCCCACGAGUUUGACUAGAAAUUGCCUCUCACUGAUCACCCAUCACACGACAGUACAUAGAAGAAACCCUAGCGAGGGGUUCUCAGUAAAUCACAAGGAAAGGGUAGGGAGAAUGGGGAUCAUGAAGGAUGGGAGAGGUUUCUACAAAUUUAAUUAAGAUAACAAGAGGGGUAGAAGGUAUUACCAGAUUCGUUGAGGUGAGUGAAGGAUUAGAUGAUUAAUCAAUGCUGGAUCAAUGUUCCUCUGUGGCUGGUAUUUUAUGUUCAAGCUUUUGUUUUUAUUUUUUCUUUGUUCAGACUUAGAGUGGGGGAGUCGGAAGUGGGUAAGUGACAGAGGGGAUGAAGUUUUAAUGCUUGAGCAUUCUGCGGUUCGGUUACCAUCGCGAAACAGCAUUCGCGAUCGCAGAAGAAUUAUGUGAUGAACCAUUACUUAUGAUGUACUUUAUCAAUGUGCGGUCACAGAAUCGUUAUGCGGCCCGCAAAGUUGCCAUUCCACCGUAUUUUUAAGCAACUUAUUUUUAGGAACGUCUGACCAUUUAUGCAAUCAAUAUGCGGUCCGCGAAACCAUUAUGUGGUUGUAUUUUUGGCCGCAGAAAAUCAACUGAAGCUCAGCAAUUUUCCCUGCACUUCUUCAUCCCACUUAGUUUCGUUAUGAGUUCCCUACACUCUAAAACACAUAUCAAAAGGUUCAACAAAAAUAAACAAACCUACAAAACAAAAAUCUAACAACAAACAUUUCUAACACAUGGGUUGCCUCCCAAGAAGCGCUUGAUUUAACAUCGCGACAUGAUGAUGUUACCCUUUUAUGGCGAAUCAGUUGUGGAUGUUGGUGCAAGACCAUCUCUGAGUUUGAAUCAUUCCACCAAUUGCCUUUCUCCAAUGGUACUGAGGUAGUGCUCCACCCUUUGGCCAUUUACUUUGAAGGUUCGAGUCACAUCCUCGGACUCUAAUUCAAUGGCGUCAUAAGGAGAUACACUAACAAAUUUGAAUAGGCCAGACCAUUUGGACUUGAGUUUUCCUGGAAAGAAAUUCAACCUUGAGUUGAAGAGUAAGACCAAGUCGUCGGAUUUUAAUUCACGCUUCAAGAUCUUCUUAUCAUGAACAAACUUCAUUCAUUCUUUAUACAUGGCUGCAUUUUCAUAGGCUUGGAAACAGAAUUCAUCCACCUCAUUAAUUUGUGUCAUCCUUAGAUUAGCAGUGUCAGCCCAGUCAAGACUUAACUUUUUCAACACCCACAUGGCUUUGUGUUCUAGCUCCACUAGCAAGUGACAUGCCUUACCAAAAACCAACCGGCAAGGCGGAGUUCUAAUGGGUGUUUUGAAUGCGGUCUGAUAAGCCCACAGAACGUCAUCUAGAUUUCUUGACCAAUCGAUCAUGUUUGCAUUAACAGUAUUUGCUAGAAUAUUCUUCAUUUCUCAGUUGGAGACUUCAACUUGACCACUUGAUUGAGGAUGAUAAGGGGUGGCCACCUUUUGCUUAACUCUAUAGUUCUCGAGCAACCCCGCAAAGGCUUUGUUGCAAAAGUGAGAACCACCAUCACUAAGGAUGGCCCUUGGGGUUCCAAACAUGUUCUUCUUCAAGAAGACGGUUACACUCCUUGCCUCAUUGUUUGGCAAGGCAAUUUUUUCGACCUAUUUUGAGACAUCGUCCACUGCUACCAAGAUAUACGUCAUGUCGUAUGAGCUCACAAAGGACCCAUGAAAUCGAUCCCCCACACAUCAAAGAUCUCUACCUCCAUCACAAAAUUCAUAAGCAUCUCAUGCCUUCUAGAAAUCGACCCCUGUCUUUGACAUUGAUCACACGCCUUGACCAUUAGAUUUGCAUCUUGUUAUAUCGAUGGCCAAUAGUAGCCGUGUUCAAGCACUUUUCCCGUCGUAUGGUUUCCACCGUGGUUGCCCCCAACCAGAGAGUCAUGACAUGCUUUGAGAAUCGGCGUCACCUCGUCUUUCGGAACACAAUGCCGAAUGAUGUUGUCAGUGCAUAUUCGGAAUAAAAAGGGUUAUUCCUAAUAUUAUUUCCUAGAAUCUCUCAAGAACGUUUUCUUUUGAUAAGCUUCCAAUUCGCCAGGGAUAAGGAAACUAAAUAUUGGUAUAUCAAGGAGUUGAAGUGCUAGAUAUUGCCAAAAGUCAUUCAUCAAGGAGGGCAGCAUUGAUUUCAAGAUCUCCCUGCCUUUUCAAGCCUAUAUAAGUGGUCCACGACUUGAUUUUCCGUUCUUUUCCGAUCUUUGACUUCAAACUCAAAUUCUUGUAACAAAAGGACCCACCUAAUCAAUCUUGAUUUGACAUCCUUCUUUGACAUAAGAUAGCGGAGAGCAGCAUGAUCGAUAAAAACUAUCACAUUGGAUCCAAACAAAUAGGCCCGGAAUAUUUCAAAAGCAUAGACAAUGGCAAGCAGUUAUUGCUCAGUCAUGGUGUAAUUCAUUUGCGUGCCAUUGAGUGUCUUGCUUGCAUAGUAGACAGGGUGAAGAAUCUUGUUGUGCCUUUGACCAAGAACUGCCCCAAUAGCCACACCACUGGUAUCACACAUGAUUUCAAAUGGAAGAGACCAACAGGUUAUGGCAAUAAUAGGCCCAUGGUGAGGCUUGCUUUCAAUUCCUCAAAAGCUUUGUGGCACUUCUCAUCAAACACAAAUUUAGCAUCCUUUCAAAGGAGGCUGCACACGGGGCUCACAAUCUUUGAGAAGUCUUUGAUAAAUCAUCAAUAGAAAUUGGCAUGCCCCUAAAAGCUCCGAACACCUUUGACCGAAGUGGGAGGAGGAAGAUUUGAAAUGACUUUAAUUUUUUUCUCGAUCAACCUCAAUGUUUUGCUAGGAGAUUUUGUGUCCAAGAACAAUACCUUCGUCAAUCAUGAAGUGAUAUUUUUCCUAAUUGAGCACAAGGUUGGUCUCUUCGUAUCUUUUGAGUAGUUGCCUAAGAUUAUCAAGGCAAUAUUCAAAGGAAUCACCAUCUAUGGAGAAGUCAUCCAUGAAUACCUCCAAGAAAUCCUCCACCAUGUCCGAGAAAAAUGACAUCAAGCACCGUUGAAAGGUAGUCAGAGCAUUGUAUAGCCCAGAUGGCAUCCGGCUAAAAGCAAAGGUCCCAUCAAGACAUGUGAAUGUCGUCUUCUCUUGGUUCUCCAAGGCUAUGUUAAUUUGGUUGUAGAUGGAUUAACCGUCAAGGAAGCAAUAAAAUGACCUUCCCGAUAGUCGAUCGAGCAUUUGAUCAAUAAAAGGCAUAGGGAAAUGGUCCUUUCAAGUGGCACUAUUGAGCUUUCGAUAGUCGAUGCAUACUCUCCACCUAGUCACCGUCCUUAUUGGAAUGAGUUCAUUUUUGUAAUUUUGAAUCACGGUCAUGCCUCCCUUCUUUGGCACACAUUGCACCAGACUCACCCAAGGACUAUCCACAACGGAGUAAACAACCCCGGCGUCCAACCGUUUUAUAAUUUCCUUCUUUAUCACUUCUUGCAUAGAGGGAAUCAACCUCCUUUGAUGUUCCACACUAGGUUUACUAUCUUCCUCGAGUUGGAUUUUGUGCUCACAAAUACCGGCAGGAAUCCCUCGGAUAUCCACUAUUGUCCAACCAAUGGGUCGUCUAUGCUUCCUCAAGAUCUCCAAUAAUUGUUCAACCUGCACAUCAUUUAACAAAGAGAAAACAAUUAUGGGUAGAGUUUCAUUAGAGCCAAGAAAUUUAUAUCUUAGGUGUAAUGGUAGUGGCUUGAGUUCAAAUUGGGGCUGUUCAACGAUUGAAGGCUUGGCAGGAGGAGUAACUCUAUUUUCCAAGUCAAGAGAAAGCUUCUUCGGUUCAUAAGUGUAUGAACCAAACCCUUCCAAUGCAUUCACCGUCUCCACAUAUCCUUCUAUGUCCUCACCAUCAAAAUUCAUCAAGAUUGCGCCAAUGCUUCACCGAGGCAUUCCUCUUCCAUCUUUACCUCAACGGCAUCUUCUACCACAUCAAUAGCAUCAAGUACCAAGAUACUCUCGUAUACAUUUGACAAUUUCAUGCCCUUACUUGCUUGAAAGGUAACUUCUUCAUCAUUAACCCAGAAUUUAAUCUCAUUUCUUUCCGAGUCAAUGAGGUCUCUCUUGGUUGCAAGGAAUGAUCUCCCUAAGAUGAUAGGAAUAUCUUUAUCAACCCCACUUUCACAAGCACAUUAUCCACUAUCCCCACUGGUCGCUUCACCGGAUGGUCGGCCAUUUACAACAUCAUAAUCGUAGGCCUAGGCAUUCCCUAUACCACUUGAUUAUAGAUAAAAAGAGGAAUUAAGUUGAUACUAGCCCCAUUAUCACAAAGAGCUCGUGCAAACUCACGCAAUCCGAUGGUGCAUGGAAUGGUGAAAGCCCCUGAAUCCUCCUUCUUUUGGAUGGCAGUUGUUGGAAUGAUAGACUUAAUCCGGUGGGUGACACUCACCAUUUCAUUCUUGAUAUUCUUAUAUUUCGUAAUCAAAUCCUUCAAGUAUUUAGCAAAACCGGGCAUAUCUUGAAAAGCUUCCACAAACGGAAUGUUUGAAAAUAAUUGAUUUCAUAGAACUUCUCGAAUUUUCUAUCAUCAAAUCUUUUGGCUAGUCUUUCAGAAAAUGGAGGAGGUCUAGGAAUCAGCACUAGAGUUUUUGGUGCCUCUAUUACUUUUUUCUCAACCUUUUCAUGACUCACAUCUCGAGACUUCACCUUUUUCAGAAUUCUCUCAACUUCAACAACAUUAGGCAACUCAACUUGUGCCUCAUCUUCUUAUUCAACAUCUUCCACUUCGACCACCCGUUCACUCUCACUUUGAAGUAGUUUCCCACUUCGAGUUGUAAUGGCCAUAUAAUGAGAGGUUGGGACACUCCCACUACCCUUUGGGUUCGCAAUUGUAUCACUUGGGAGUGUGCCUUUUUUGUUUUAGGUUUGGCUUUUUUGAAAGGUCUAGCAUAUGCAACUCCAACUUUUGAAUAGAUGUGGUAUGAGAACCCACAAGUUCGGUCAUGUUUUUCAUUGAAGAGUCGGAGCUCUCUUGAUUUUGCAAUACUCUCUCAAGCAUGUUCUCUAACUUGAAAUUACUUUGGACGCUUUAAGAACUUUCCCUCCAAUUUUGAGAGUUAGAGUAUUGGCCUUUUGGUGGAACAUAGGGGUUUGAACUCCGAUUAGCAAAGUUGUUGUUAUUGCUCCAAUUCCAUUGAUUGAACUACCUUGGUCAUUUCGCCAUUGUUGGUUACCUUGACCUUGUGGGUUAGGUCCCCAUUGAUGUUGUUGUUACGAACCUUGGUAGUUUUGUCUUUUAUAUCCUCCUUGUGAAUUGUUAACAUAGUUUUCUUCUUCAUAUUGCAUGGGAGGAUAAUCUUGAUGUUGGCCUUCUUGAUAUUGAUAAUUGGCAUUUGACAUUCGUUGUACUUCUUCCACAACAUUCACUUGGCUUUUCAUAAACAUUCUUUUUCAAAACAUUGACAUUUUUAGAAAGCCCAACAAUCAAUUGAUCUCUUUCUUGAUUUUCUUUGACUAUGUUGGUCAAAGAAGGGGUACCAUAUGAGACUCCACCCGAGGUAUCGCCCAAAUGCCAAGCUUGGUUGUGUUCAACUACCUUGUAGAGGAUUUGAGUUACUCUUGCAAAUGUUUUGUCCAUGAACAAUCCAUUAGCUGCAUUGUUGGCUACGAAUUGACUCAUAGGAUCCAAACUCGUGUAAGACUUCUCCAACAAAAUAUUUUCCGAAAGCCCGUGAUUUGGUGAUCUCACAAAAUACUUCUUGAAUCUAUCCUAUGCUUCAUGUAGUUGUUCCCCCAGUAAUUGCUUGAAAAAUAAAAAAUUUUCCCGAAGUUUGGAUUUCUUGCUUUGUAGGAACCAUUUUCCUAGGAAAACAUACACACGUUCAGCCUAAGUGUGGAUGGAGUUAGGAGGUAGACUGUGAAUCAAUUGCAUGCCUCUCCGGCUAAAGAAUAUUUGAACAACCUCAACCUUAGGGCAUCAUCCGAAAUAUGAUUCUGCUUAUGCAUUGCACCCACACCCAAAAUGAUUUUGAGGUAUUGUGUUGGAUCAUCGUCGGUGAAAUUUUGUAAGAACCCCUCCGCCUUUAGCAUUAGGAUUAGACUGUAUUCCACUUUAAAGGUAGUCGCGUCAACUCUAGGAGGGAAAAUAGCAUUUGAAUCAUCAAUGUACUCAUCCGUAUCCGUAAACACAUUCUCUGGCUCACCCAUGCUUGCCUAGUCACAACAAGCAAAACAAGCAAAGUGUGAUGGUAUAGAAAAAGACGUACCGUAAAGCACACACUAGUUAGUAAUUUCAAAACCAUAUUCUCCGGCAACAGCGCCAAAAUUUGAUACUCUCAAAUUACACCUAUAUAAAUGAUGUAAGGCAGUCGAUGUCAAAUAUAAUAGCCCAACAAGGUUGGGGUCGAAUCCCAUAGGGAAUAGGCAUGAAAAGAUUACUUGAGUAGUUUUUACUUGACUAAGGUCGUGAUUCUACUCCGUUAGUUUGGAAAGAUUUUAUGAUUGUGAAUUGUUAAGAAAAGCUAUUUUGUUAAGAGAAUUGAUUAACUGGAUUAAGAAACCAAGGUUGUGUCCCUUUCUACGGAAUAUAAUGCUAUCAGUGUUAAUAUAAUAUAUUUCUAAUGAAAAGUCCUUUGAUAUGCAAAUGGUUCCUAAAUGACUACCCAAUAUUCUCCAAUAGGUAGGUAGUAUUUCCUCUUUAUACUUUUCCCAAAUAUAAGAGAGUUACAAUUAAGAGCAACUAAUAUAUGCCAAGUAGAACCCACUUAUUCCUAAAUGAUUCUAUUAAAUGAGGUUUAAAGUCUCGAGUUCUUGCUAUUCACUUAUACCAAAUCCUAACCCACUUUUCCAAGUGAAAUAUAAAGUAGAUUGGCACUAGAUAAUGUUUUCAACCACCAACCAUAAAUGAAGCAUAAGAAAUGAAUAGAAAUCAACAACUCAUUAUAUAUAUAUAUAUAUAUAUAUAUAUAUAUAUAUAUAUAUAUAUCUAGUAGUACUACUACUACUAAUAAUACUACCUACUACGUACCACAACCUUAGUAUUUAAAGUUAGUUACUCAUACUAAAAUAUAAUAACAAAGCAUUAAAGAAAGUCAUGAAAGCUUACAAUGAAGACAAAUUGUCGAAAUCUAUCCAAAAAGCUCCAAAACAAGUGUAGUAUUCAAUGCUCUCAAUGUAGGACCUUUUUCAAACAAGAUGUCUACAAAAACCCUAGUUAUUCUAUUUAUAAUGGCCCAAAAGUUACGGACAAAAUGUGACAAAAUUAGCCCUUCAGGAGAGUUCGCGAUCGCAGAAUCGACUGUGAAUGCAAUUUUCCAGAUUUCCAUCGCAUAUCAGUUAUGGGGUCUGCAUACUGAUUUCACGCUCAUAUAAUGAAUCGCAUAAUCAUCACUUUGGAUCACUGGGAAUUUCUCUUGGUUUUGUGCGACCAUUCUAUGGUCUGCAAAAUGGUUAUGCAACUGCAUACCGGACCGCAUAUUUAACUCUUAAAACUGGGCUGGCCUAGUUACAUUUGUGACAGAAAUGCGAUUCGCACAUCUAUUUUGCAGUCGCAUAUCCUUCACAAAUCUGCCUUCUUCAUAGUUUUGACAUCUUUUUCAUGUUCUUGGCUCUUCAAGUCCGAUUUCCUACAAAACAACAAAAUUACAUAAGAAAUGACUCAAAAUGCUAUAAAAGAUAAGCUAAAGUCUAUAAAAUUAGUAUCGAAAGUGCGCAUUUCUACGGCACAUCACAUGCGGGGGUGAUGUAUAUAUGAGGUGACGAGUGUAUAUGUAUGUGACAUGGGCAUUCAUGUUCAAGGUAGAUUCUAGAUUACUUUAUGCUUUGUUUGGUUGUAUGUUCUUCUUGAUUCUAUAUUUUACCCAAUCGAUUGACUAUGUGAGCACAAUAAACCACACUAGAAUUAAUGUUGAAGCAAAUGAUACCUUAUUUUGAGAAUGAAGAGUUAUUCUUGAGAUUGUUUUUAUACUUGCUUUAGACAUAGUCACGCGUAUAUUAUGAACACACAUCCAUACUUGUUCUUCUGAUGUUACACCUUAAAUUGAUGUAUGAGUACUUGAGUUUCCUUACCUACGUUAAAGACUAUGAAAUGGCUUUUGAUGCUUAAUUGGGUAUGAUGAUUAUUUUGAUGAUGUAUUUUAUGUUGAGUCGGUAUUCAUACGUAUAUAUAGGCGUACAUACUACCUAGGGAUUAUCCCUUGUAUACAUGCAUACAUCCAUGCAUGGUUAUUUCUCUGUCCAUGUGUAUUAUAUAUGCUUAACUUUUAUUCAUAUGUAUACAUCACUGCAUGUGAUUCUCGGAUAUGGACUAAGGCUUUGGCACGAGGUCUUUGCCAUGCAGAUAUUGAGUUAUUGUUAUUGAUUUGGCACAAGGUUUCUGCCAUGCAGAGAUUGUCUUAUUGUUAUUGAUUUGGCACGAGAUUUCUGUCGUACGAAUAUUGUCAUAUUGUAAUUGAUUUGGCACGAGGUCUUUGCCACGCGGACUGUGGUAUGAUACUAUUUUGGCACGUGGUCUUUGCCGUGUGGAUUGUGAUGUGAUAUUAUUUUGGCACAGGGUCUUUGCCGUACAGAUUGUAAUGUGAUAUUGAUUUGGAAUAAGGUCUUUGUCAUGCGGUUGAUACGAUUAUGGAACGUGAGUUGUCCGUGCAGCAUGUAGAUAAAGAUACAUCCCUCUAAGGUUGCCCUCUCAUAUUUCUCUCUUGAUAGCGUUCACGCAACUUGUAAAUAUUGAACAAAUUGAUUUGGAAAUGGCACGAGAUCUUUGCCGUGCAGAGCUGAUGAUAUUGUUAUUGUGAUGGCAUGAGGUUUUUGACAUGCAGUUUGUGGAUAUAGAUUCAUCCCCUAGGGUUGACCUCUCAUGUUUCGCUCUUGAUGGCAUGCACGCGGGAUGUGAGGAACUGAGGAGUUUCUGGUUGAUUGUGAUGUAGGUUCCUAUGUGAUGACGUUUUGAGCAUAAAGGUGGAAGCUUGGCCAUUCAAGUGAUCCUUUGUGCAUGUUCGCGCAUUUUUACAUGUUUUAUUCACACAUAUCAUCCACAUAUGUUAGUUGAUGUAUUUUACAUAUGUAUGAGAGUUGUUACUACGUAGUUGGACACUUAGAGAGUGCCAGAUUAAUGUAAAAAGAGAGCUAUCAUCAUACAUUGAAAUGUUAGACUCAUAAAUAUUAUUCCACAACAAGCAAGUUGGAUGGUGAGAAAGAUAAUGGCAGCAAGGGUCAAGGAAUAGCAAAUACACAAUCCGAAUCAGAAGAAAAGCUUGAUUACAUAGAUAUACUUGUAGUUGUUAGGGAACCAUAAUAGAGUGGUAUGGAGAGGCUUGAUGUUUCACAAUGAGGCAAGACCCAAAGUUGUGUUUUCCAUGUGGCUCCAAUGUCAUGGAUAGCUACUAACAGUGGAUAGACUAGUGCAAUGGAGAAUCAUAGUGAACACAAUAUGUGCAUUGUGUAAGACAACUGAUGAAACUCGCAACCAUCUGUUUGGAGAAUGUGGUUCUCAAUGGAAUUAUGGAUGAUGCUAAUGGAGUGGCUCUAGAUACAAUAUGUUCAGACCCACACCUGGUAGCAAAUGAUCAAUUGGAUGAUUUUGCACACCCGAGGAAAAUCGUUGAUGGAAAGGAUGCUUAAAAUGACAUAUGUUGAAUAUACUCAUGUAACAUGGAAAGAGAGGAAUGGAAAAUUUUUUGAACUACAAUCAAAGACUACAUAGCAAUUGGCUAGGGAAGUUGCAUGAACAUGCAACAUCAACGUGACAGGAGCACUGAAGAACAAGCGGCAGCAACUCAUUUUUUGACCAUAGAAAUCUUACAUACAAGCUGGCUAUAUACUUAGUUUUAGGAGUAACGUACUGCAAGUAGAAAAGGUUAAAGAGAUACGAAUAUGUAUUAAGUGUAGCUAGUCGCGGAUGAUUUAUAUUAUUUUGUAAUUGAUGCUCUUGGUGAUGAAUGAAAUAUUCUAAUUACCAAAAAAACACAUAGUAUUAUAGAAAUUGAUACGGAAUUGGAUCAUUGUUAUAUACAUACAUUAUACAUUAAAGUAUGAGUAUUUGAGUACACACUACUUGGUGCAUAUCUCUUUGUCUGCAGAGUUGGUGCAAGUUGUUUUGUUUGAUCUAUUUAAUUGGCAAAGCUUGUUUAUUAAUGUUACCCCAGUUAUAUAUAUAGUAACAACAAAACUCACAAAUUCUGAACAUCCUAUUCAAUACGAGUCAAAAUAUGUGUUUCAUCCAAAUCCAACCUCAAAUCAACC
rnacentral:lncRNA from 1 species